rnacentral:lncRNA from 1 species
UUUUUUUUUUUUGGGUGAAAUAUGAGUUAAGUGUAUUGAUUGAUAUGCAAUUCUACUUUGAUUUUACCUGAUAUCUAUCAGUUAUGCUAGUGAAUCUGAUGCUAAACGUUGUUCCUUGAAACUGCAAAGAUCAUUAGAGGAUUAACUUCUCAAACCAACUUCUGAGUUAUAAACUUACAAUUGAAUUUCAACUUAUUUGGAUAAUACUGUUUAUUAAAAUGAGUACUUUUGAACUCCAAUCAACUCAAUCUGAGUAACAUUAUCAAGUAAACGGCAAUGGAAAUUCAAUCAGAUAUCUUCAGCAUGUAGCACUAGUAAGCGCUCUAAAAUUUUUCAUGUCUCUCACUUUUUUUGUGAUUUUCUGUAGGGUUCUAGUCUGGGGCAGUUUUACAAACAGUAUCUUGAGCCAAUCAAGCUGAAUGAUGUCCCUGUAAUUACAAUCUCUCUUCUGCUUUAUUUCAUUCAGUUACAGUUUUUCCUGUUGUCUAUUCCACAUUCUCAUAUUAAGUUUAUCUUUUUCUACAUUUUCCUUCCCAAAGGUUGACUGGAAAUCAAUGGAUUUGAGCUACCUGAUGGAGGUGUGUAUCCCUUGAUUCAUUUGGAUGGAAAGCUGCUUUAUUACGUCUAUAGUCACUAUAUCUUUUUAAUGUGUGUCUAGGACAAGUAUAUAAAGCACUUUGCAGAGAUUGUGAAAAAGGCGAAACCUGUCCAUGGAGCUGAUCUUGUACUGAAGGCACGCAAUAUUGCUGUUGAUGUCCGUAUACCGUACAAUAACCAGCCAGACUUUGAACGCAUUGCAAAUGAAUUUGGAAUUUUUGAAGAGUGGAAGGUUAUUUCUGUUGUUACUUGGAGAAUUUUGGAUGAUUUUUCCUCAUUUUUACAAGUAGCUCUAGAGAUAAUAAUAAAUCGAAGGCAUAGUUUUAAACCAAUAUGUUAAUUUCUUCAUUCAGGAUGGAAUACCAAGGACAGCCUAUAAAGGAGUAGUUGUUUUCCGACACCAAAACCGACAGCGUAUAUUCCUUGUUGGUCCAGGUUCUCUCAAGCAGCUUGGAAUUGAUGAUUCUUGAUGCAAAGGUUAGUUUCAUGUGAGAUGCUCCAUUUCUGUGCUUCAAUAAGCAAGGUUGUUGGUCUAAGUUCAUAAUUUGGAUUGCAGAAAUAGCUUAUCUUAAGUUGGAGUAGUAUCUGAGAGUUUCCUCUUUCUGUAAUUAACAGAUUGGAGAAAAUGUCUUCAACAUUGAGGUUUAUGCAACACAUGAUUCGAAGCACGAGGGCAACUCAUACAAAUAGAUGACUGAUAUUGAGUAAACUUAGAGGAGGAGCCGAGUAUAUUUUUUCUGAGAAACUUAAUCAAGAUAACAUGUCCAACAAGUAGUAGGCUUCACAUACAUGCCUUUUUCAAGGUUGGUAGUCUUCAUCUGUGUACAAUGUGUUAUCUUCGAAAGUUCUACGCCUGCUUGUUGAUCUUCACAAACAAGAAAGAAGAUGCUGUGAUUCUUGAUAAUUUUGUUUCGGAAGAAAACAUGUAAUCCUAGUCUUUGUAUAUGAUAUAGAUACAUCAAAAGCGUACAAAUUAUUCUAAUGUGAAAUGAACUUCCGUAUGAUGCAGGUUGCUUUCUUGGUUCUUCAUUUUGGUCCUACACACCCCGUCAUUUGUGCCUUUCUUCCAAAAUUACCCUUAGUUGAUCUCCUAUCUUCACAGAUCAAAAUUCUCCUCGUCUUCAGUUGUUCACCGUCAAAGUGGCUUCGUGUUUCUUGUGCAAAGCCCCCCUUAUGCUUUCUUGUUCUGAACUUUCGACAUCCACCGUACAACCUUUUUUUCUGUUUCAACAAAACAUCUUCUGUAGAAAAAGUUGACUGACAUCUGAGAUUGCUCAUGAUUAUUGGGUAGUUUACUGAGAGUUUGGAAGUCAUAGUUAAGAUAUGAAAUUUUAUGAUAAUUUGAGUUUUAACUUGUAGUUUGUGGUAAGGUAGAAGGGACUGCAGCAAGUAGUCAUAGAAUUUUAGAAUUGUACGGUGUAUCCUCAUUUUCACUUGUUUUGUUUUUUUGGCCUCAAUGAUGUUUAUUUCUCUGGCUUUGGUAGCAUGGUGGGAUAUGUCAUGUAUACAAGUGGUACUACCCAUUUCGUGAUACAUGCCAUGUAAGUUAGCAAUGGGAGCUCACAAAGUUAUAGAGCAUCCCCUCUGUCAUCUCAGUACUAUUUAGUCUAGUGGCGUAGUGUUCUUUUUAGUAAGUGAAACGUUAUGAGUUCGACUCUUUUUUUGCUAUUUGUCAAAGUGCUAGCAGACCACCGGAACGGAUUCUAUGUACCAAAGGGUAGUUAGAAACACUUAAGACUAUUUUUUUAGAUUUAAUUUUAUUAAUGGUAUUAGUAUAUGUGCAUAUAUUGCGAUGUAAAUAGCCGGAUCAAAAUAAUUAGUUGCUCGGUUCACUUACACUUCCAACGUUAAAGAAUUUUCGGAUAACCUUGUUAUAUGUUCAUCAACUUUGGUAUUUGGCCUACUAGGCAAGCGGAUGUGUAUAAAAAGCAAGUGGAGUCGAAACGACGUCGUAGCCGAUCAAUAAACCUAAAACCCCAAAAACCCUCUCAUCUGAGGUCUCACAGUUCCGUUGUUCCCGCCGAGCUCCACCAUGGCCUCCUUUCUCUCGAAGAAGCAGAAGCAGAAGAAGAACACCACGAAGCUCUCCGACCUCCGCGCCCUAGGGCACGACCUCCUCUCCUCUCGAAGCCACGUCAACAACCUCCCGAAGCUCCUCUCCUUCAUCACCCCAACCUCGCCGCCUCAGUUCGUCCUCGAAUCCCUCCUCUCCCUCCAAUCCUUCUUCACUCCCCUCCUCCCUGACCUCCCUUCCUCCUCCUCCUCCACUCACUCCCCCGACGACGAUCCCGAGCUCAUCUACCGCACCUGGCUCCGCUCCAAAUUCGACGAGCUCGUCGAGUCCCUCGUCCAGGUCCUGCUCUCGCCGGACUCCGAUGACACUCUCAAGGUUUGUUUCUCAAUUUUACGAAUUCCGAGAAUUUCGGUUUAUUUUUACUUGUUCUGAUUUGAGAUUUUGAUGAAAUUGCUGAUAGGAGGUGGUGUUGGAUACGCUGAUGGAGUUUGUGAAAUUGGGAAAUGGAGGCAAGUUUCACUCUGCUAUAUUCCAUAGGUUUCUUCGCAACAUUGUGAGUUACGGUUUCCCAGGCUUUUUUCUGUUGCUUUGUUUCAAUUUUAGGAGCUGUUUUGUGAUGUUUCCGUGGUUUGUUGAUAGGUGUACUCUACGACGUCGACGGAUUUCUUGGUGGACUUGCUUGCAUCAAAGUAUUUCAAGUACAUCGAUGUGUGGUAAGGUCUCAUUGUUGUUAGGACUGAUAGAAACUGAUAUACAGACUGCUAUAAUAUUGAUUGGUUGAUGCUAUAAUAUUGCCAAUAGAACUAUGUAGGUGUGUACGUUGUUUCAUGUCCUUGUGUUGUUUGAUAGUAUUGCUGUUCUGGUGAUUCCUACCUCUUACUGUCAGUAACUGCAUCUGUUUUGGAACUUCUGUUAUUUAUUUGGAUAAUUAUCAAAUUUUAACCAUUGUAUCUGUUUUUUUUUUGGCAGUUAUUUUACCUACAUUAGCUUGGAAAAACUUGCAAAAACCCUAGAUGCAAAAGGCAUUUCUGGUACUUUCUCCUGUGAUUCUUUGCGAAAGGCUUAUCUAUCUACAUUUCCUAGUUAUCUAUACUGGCUUAUUGGUUUUUACCUACCCUGUAGAUGAUAGAAAUCAGAGCGCAGAUGUUAAUAACGGGAGUCAUCUUAGUGGAAGGUUGGUGUUUCACAUUUUUGUCAUGUUUUUGAGAAAAUUAUGUUCUCUUAUUCCGUUGUCUCCUCUUCCUUGAUAUGAGAUAUAUGAGAUUGUAACUUUUAUGCUAGACAUAUAUUUAAAAUAAUAUUCUUGAACAAUACUACCAUAAAUCUUUGUGCUAGAUUCUGAGUUUGAAGGUUGUGGAUACCAUUGUAUAGGAAUAGUUGCCACCAUAUUCAAAUCUUGGUUUUCUACCUUCUUAGAAUUAAACUAGUAACACCGGAUUUUAUAUGCCUCCUUUAAUAUUGGGUUCUUCUUUCUCCAAGCCUAUUGUCAUUUUUGUUUUUAAUUAUUUUACGCUGGAGUUUAUGAAUUAUUGUUUAGUUGGCAAGUUGUUAGAUUCCUUUAUAAAUUGUUUCUGCAACUUGUUAGCUUUUGCUUAGCUUUGUUUACUUUUCUUGCAGCAUGGAGCAACUAAUUCGCAAAAUCCAUUACAUUAUAUCACAUAUCCCCGCUUUUGAAGGUUCAGUUGAAAAAACUGAUUAUGACAUGUGGAGUGGAUCAAGUAAGUGUUCCCUUCCCUACCAAUCAGUACUUAAUUGUUCCUUUGCUUCCAUUACUGAUAAUCAUGGAUCAGUUGUUCACAUACAUAAAUAAAAAUAACAAGAGUGACUUUUUCAAUCCUUCCAUGAACUUCAUCAUUGGUCACGUUAAAACUUAAUGAAAUACAAAGAUGUCGAUCCAUCAAGUACAUAAAAAGAGAAUUAAUUUCUUAAACAUCAAAGAAAAUGCUUUCUCUAUCUACAAUUUUUUGGGGGAAAAUCCAAUGAACUAAGUCAUUUGAUAAGAAAGAGAAUCAUCAAUUCUUCUGACACUAGAUUGUUGUUUCAAAUGAUUUAUUCUAGUUCACCAACUGCUAUUCUCAUAGUUUCAUUUGCAGAGGUCCUCAUUAGUAUAUUAGAAUCUGUGCAGCUUUAUUAUAUGAUUGUCAACUCUAGUUACUUGUAACAAGUUGAGACUGUUGAGCUGUCCUCAUGCCUCAUAUUGGGUGUUCAGACUACUUAAGAUUUUCAUGUGACCUCAAAACAAACCUUUGUGUCUUGCCCUGUUUCCCUCUUUAUUGCAUCUUCUACUUUGUGAUCAAUCGUAAUUUAUCUUUGCUGAUUUCAUAUCUCAUUGUCAUUUUUUUUCUGUAGGUGAAUCUGAAGAGCAUUCUAAGAGCCAAAAAGCAAAAGAUAAAAAGCAAAAGACUGAGAAGCAUAAUGACAACGUAAGUUAUCAAUAUCUAUUGACAAAGAUGUUUCAGUUUAGCUAUCAAAAUUGUUUUUCAUCGGUUUACAAUACAUGACUGGAUUGUCCUCUGUAUAUUGCCUAAUGAGCAUAGUAUCUUAUUCCUGUCGCAAUAACAAUGCAGGCAUUGUCUGCAGCCAACAUUGUCAAAAAGAUGAAAUUAAAAUUUACUAAAGCAUGGUUGUCAUUUCUAAGGUUACCACUUCCUCUUGAUGUGUACAAGGAGGUAAGAUAAAUUCUCUUCCCUGUUCUGCGGUGCCUUUUAAACAUAAAUGUAUUGUUACUUUACUGUCUUGACGAUUGGUUUGAUGUAUCUCCAAUUCUCUUCCUGUGGCUACCCAGUGCAGUAAUAAUAAAAGUUAUGUGCAUAAUGUUUUUGUAUCACGUGUCAUGGGUAGCAAACGAUUUUAAAAGUGCCUAUAGACAGAGAAGCCUCAAACUUGCAAUUUAAAAGUUAUUUUCAUGUCUUAAAUUUGAUCUAGACGUUAUUUUGUUAUGGUGCUUGUCUUUCCAAUUUUUAUUUUAUAUUGUUGACAUUGGAUUCUCAUGCUUCAUCAUAUUCUGACCUGGCUUCCUUAUGUGCUCAGGUUCUUGCCAGCUUUCAUCAGGCAGUCAUUCCUUAUAUAUCUAACCCCGUUGUGUUAUGGUAUAGCUACAUUCUGAAAUAGUUCCAUGUUUUCACCUUUUCUCUUUCUGACUGAACCUAAUUUUUGACUACAUUUUAUUCAUUUUGACGAUGUACAGUGACUUCUUAACUAGAUCAUAUGACAUUGGUGGUGUUAUCAGCGUCAUGGCUCUUAGCAGUCUAUUUAUCAUAAUGACAAAAUAUGGUUUAGAGUACCCCAACUUCUAUGAGAAGCUUUACGCAUUACUGAUUCCUUCAAUUUUUAUGGCAAAGCAUCGAUCAAAGUUUUUUCAGGUAAUGUUAAUCACUACUGCAGUAUCAAUCAUCUCGUAUGUAAAUUUAUGUAAUUCAAGUGGGGUUUACAUGUAUUAAGUGUGUAUAUGCAUGCACAUGACAUGCGUAGUGAUGUUUCCAGCAAUCAAAAUGGAAAGCGAAUCUUAAGUAUUAUAACAAGUACAUAGAUGUCUGUCGUCUUUGUUAUUUAGAGUAUUCUUAUUUUCCAAUCAGACAUGGUUAUUUGGUUGCCUUGGUCAUAUCAUAUGUCUUUCAUGUAUAUUCUGCACCAUUUGCAUCACUACUCGGUUCGUAAAUCUCACUAUCAUGAAGAAAACAAGGGGGUUUGACAAAAAGUUGAGCUUUGAGUGUUGAAAAAAGAAGGCCAAAGUUAGAAUUGAAACUAAAUAGCCAGCUUAAGUGUUUGUGAUGGUCAUUGAUUAUUUGUGCUAUUUACUGUUUGCAGCUUCUUGAUUCUUGCUUAAAGUCACCACUUCUUCCUGCUUAUUUGGCUGCUGCUUUUGCUAAGAAAUUGAGUAGGCUGUCACUUUCAGUCCCUCCUUCUGGAGCCUUGGUUGUUAUUGCGUUGAUUCAUAAUCUUCUACGGAGACACCCUUCAAUCAACUGUUUGGUGAAUCGGGUAACUGUACAAUCUAUAUUUUGUCCUUUUCAAUGUAUUUACUUUCCUAUGAUGUGAAUGUGAACAAGCAAGCUGGGCUUAUGAGUAAGUAGUCCUGUUGAUGAGUUCUUUUGUAUUCAACAACCUCUGACUUCCUUUUCCUAUCUCUUUCAUCUUCGCCUCAGAUAAACAUUGAUAGGUUUAUUAGAAGAUCACAUGCCUCAGUUUUCAGAUAUUAUUUUUUUAUUUUUCAUUUUUAUUUUUUGGAAAAGAAACAGCUUUUAUUGAAACAAAAAGCAAAGUACAAGGAGGCAGACAAGGUGUCUGCUUUAAAUAACUAAAGAGGGCAGCUUGGGCUGAAGGCUAAGCAGUUCAUCUAAUUGUGCUAAAUCUAAACUCAGGGGCUUAUACUACAGCUGCAUCCCAGUUAAGAAUAAUGGAAGAAAAACUAUAAUCCUUAAAUUCCUUAGAAGUGGAAGCCCAUAAGGAUGCUCAGAACUUGACUCUCCCUCAGUUUUUCAGAUAUUGGAUAAGUAAAAUAAGUACACAAGGUUUAUCCACCGAGAUACUUUCUGUUCUCUGAAAAGAACUAUUCACCAGACAUAUUGAUGGCGAAACAAUUGUAUAAAAAUGGCAGCAAGUAAUUCUCCAUAUUAUGCACCCUGGGGGAUGGCAAAUUCGGGAAGAGCCAUGAACCUCACUAUUUGAGUGAUAUGCUUUUCACUUUUGGGUUUAAGUUAUUUUCUUGUGAUUAUACAAUCUUUAUAUAUUUGCCUCUACUGUGAACUAAAUUUUUGUGAACUCAUUUUAUUAAUUCAUAACCAGAUUUUUCUAACUAAUCUUAUUAAUUCAUCUCAUAUAUCUGAAGGUGCAGCAAGGUGAUCAAGAUACUGUGAAAGUUGAUCCAGAAGCUGAGGUAAGUACUCCUGAUGGUGCAGAUGCCAAUGUUACUGAUGCAGCAGAUCAGUCACUCAGAAAACCAGUCAUUGAUCCCUUUGAUAAUGAACAAAGUGAUCCUAAGAAAUCAAAUGCCAUGAGUAAGCUCCCCCCUCUUUCCUGCCUCUGAUAAUGUGAUACUGCAUGCCAAAUCCUGAUGUUACCCAUGAUUAUGUUGAAGUCAUCUCACAUCUCAUUUGCCAUCAACAUGUGCACAUGCAAGUGCUAUACUGCUAUACUUGUGAAAGUAGCUUUGACAUACUGAUACGAGCCCUUUCGUACAGGAAGUUCACUCUGGGAGAUUGAUACCCUCCGGCACCAUUACUGCCCACACGUUGCAAGGUUCAUGCUUUAGUCCUUAUCUUGCAUGAUUUUUGUAUUUGCCCUGAUGCUCUUUUUCUUGAUAUCAUUGUUUCUUGGGUUAUAGGUUUGUGGUGUCACUUGAGAAUGAUUUGACAGUCAGAAGCAAAACCACUGAAAUUUCUGUCGAAGACUUCAGCUCGGGUUCAUAUGCAACAAUAUUUGGAGAAGAGGUAGUAUAUUGGUUUUAAGAAUUCAUGCAGUAAUGGAGUAGAAUAUUGUAGCAUUCAUGAAAUUGAUAUUCUAGAAGAAAUACAAUAUGUGCGUGCAGCGGUUGACUUAUGCCUGGUGCAAUCAAUUUGAAGCUUUUGUACCAACUAGCUACUGAUCUAGUGGUAAUUCUAAUCCAGAAAGUUGAAUAAGGUCGAUAGUCUGGAUCCCUCCUUCCUCACUCAUGUUAAGGAAAAUUGAUUUUAUUAGGAUUUAGUGUAGCCUAAUUAUUCCUCUGGAGCUCAGCAGAGCAGCUCUGGUAGAGUUCUACUGUGAUUGUCAGUUCAAUCCAUGCAUCUGUUCACCUGAACUUCGGGUUGCUUGUUCUCUAGACUGGUGUAGGACAGUAACUGCACUCGUUACUUCUAUUGUUAAUAUUUCCAUUGGGUCCUAGCCUAGAAGAAAAAUAGAAUAUGGCUUUAGGAUAUAUGUUGUACUUGAGUUAGUAAUUUCUUCGACUUUGUAUUGCAGAUGAGACGGCGGGUAAAGCAGGCUCCAAUAUCCUUCUACAGAACGACUCCCACCUGUUUAUUCCCGGAGUCCGAGACUGAUUUUCUUGGGUGGACGUUCCAGUGUGAGGACAUUAAGAGAAAGAAUGAUAACACUAAUGAGAACGGGGAUAUGCAGAAAGAAAGUGAUCGUAGUUCAGGAAAACGGCAAAGAGUCGAGUGUGCAUAAGGAUUUGAUCGUAAUUGGAUCAAACAGGGGACGAGUUGGUUUUUGAACUACAUUAAAAUGAUUUUUAGGUCUACAUUUCUCAUUUGUACACUGCACCAAAUUUUGUCCAAAACAGUAACUAGUUUAUUGUUGUACUUCUUUGCACUACAUUCCUUGAACUUGUACUGAAAGAGAUAUUAUUAAAGCCAAGUUCUUGAAAUCAAUUGUGUUACAUUUUGUUUUGCACGUUUACCCUUAAGAGAAUAUGAAUGGAUUGAUGUUUUGACGUGUAUUGGUUGAAUCUUUGUGAGGUCUUCUGGGAAUGCUUCUUUUGACACUGCCAUUUUCUUUUUCCCUUCCCGAGACUUGGUUCUUCAUAUUAUUUUUUCAGAAAAUCAAAUUACCCUUCAUCAUAGAAAUCAUCGGUUCACCAGAAUAAAUUUUCCGAUCGGUCUUGAAACCAAAUCCAACUGGUCCAAGAAGAUGAAGAAGAGUCGAAGAUAAGACUGGUAAUCUUUUACAUUUCACAAUUUGGCAAUAUUUGGAUUAUUUGCACCGAACAAGAAAUAUCUAAAACAUUGAUGGCUACUUGAGAUUGAAGUUAGUGAGCAAUUGCGCAGGAUUUUGCGUAUUUAUUUCUUACAGAGUUGAUUCCGACACAAUUGAAAAGGAAAACUAAUUUAUUUACUAUUAAGAAUUAUUAUGUACAAAUAAUCUCAAUCAAAAGCCAGACAGAUUAAUUAGAACCCACUACAAGCAAUGGUUGGCUGUUGAUGGAAUUUUGAACAAGUAAAGAAGAAAGAAAAAGACUGAUCUUUCAAUAAUCAAUAAUCAAUAUCAUCCACAAACAUGAUGUUUGAUAGCAUCUAAUCUGGUCAUACAUUACUAUUUAGUACCUCCUGCAGAAGAUUCAGACCUUCUGCUGAUAUACUCCUCUUGAACUUGAACUUUGGGAUCUCAAGCUGAGGCGGUGGUUCUGGGGAGAAACAUACAACUACAACGGUCAAGUUAUCACAUGUAUCGCGCUUGAGAGCUUCCCUAACAAGCUCUCGUGAGCAUCUUUCAGGAUCAUUGUGAAGCAUCAAUUCUUUCCUUGCUAUUGUGACUGCACACUGGCUGCUCAUCACAUCCCACAACCCAUCACAGCCUAAGAUCAAGAACUCAUCUUCCUCACUCAGAAUUGUCUCCUCAAGCUCCGGUUCUGCACUUAAGGGACAAGUUGAACCUUUGGAUCCUUUCAUGUGCCAAUCUCCAAGUGCUCGUGCCACUGACAAUUGGCCGUUGAGAUAUCCAUCGUACACCACGCCUCCCAGUUUUUCAAUUCUUAAUCUUUCUGUGGCGCAAUUUGGUUUAUGGUCUUUGGAAAGUUCCACUGCUCUGCCUCUUCUUCCCAGAACAGCUCGACAAUCUCCAGCAUUGGCAACCAGCAUCGUCCUAAACAAGACAUUAUGUGUAAAUCAUGACUGUCUCAUCCACAAAAAAGAGAGGUAAUAGAUAGAGGGAACCUUUGUAACCUACAGGAAUCCUCCAGCACAGCUUUGUUAACAGAAAAAUCUAUCUAGUUUACCUGGUCAAGACUCAAGAUGAUAAAGCUAUGUUAUAGCUGUAUCCAUUGCACAACCGACGGGUUUACACAUGUGACCCCUUGCCUCACACCCAAAAUUUCUAUUACCAUGUUACAAGCCUCUAUAUGGAUGCCAGGAAAUUCAAAGGCAUGAAAGGAUUCCUGGAUGACAUGGCAAUAGUAAAGAAGAGUGUGAAAAGAAUGGUUGACAGGAAAGACGAAAGUUUACCCGUGGAGUUGGACCAAUAGACUAGCCUAUACCAUAGAAUGAUCUAAGCAUCAAUCAAAUUUUCACAGUAACCAUUCUCCACCAUGUAAUCCCAUAAGCUCCAAAAUAUCUCGGUACCACUUAUUCACUAAUUAUUUCCAAGAGCGAAGUAAAGAAGAAGGGCGACACGCAACUGGGGAAUGAGAUACAGUGUCAUACAGCGAAGAGUCGAAGACUAAUUACUUCAAGGUCAUAAUAAGUGUUUACUGGAAGCUAUUUGUAUGGACCAAUACCACAUGAGAAAAGACACCAUAGGAUGACAAUGAUUCUCACCUUCCAUAGAUAAGGGCAGUAAGUGCAGUGGUACCGGAGGAACUAUCAAGAGUACCAGUGUCAGCAAAAGCAUGGUCAGCCUUCAGAAAAGCACUCUUAAUAGCUUGCUUAGCACAAAAAGGGAAAUGUGAAUCCUCCACUAUAAACCUCAAAAUGUUCUCUCUGAUAAAAGAAGCUGCAUCUGUACCCCCAUGGCCAUCAAAAACCUGCAAUAGAACAAAUAUGUUAACAGACCAUGGCAUGUUCUAGUUGUGCACCCAAAACUAAUUGUACCACCAAUUUCAUCAAUCAACAAUAAAAGUAGCAAUAUCUAUAUAACCACAAUGAACUGUACUGGUUUAAAAUUAGUUACACACCCCAUAGAAAGCUCCAGAAGAAGGAAAGUCUGUAGUAGAUCCUAGAUGUUCAAGAAUAUUGUCUAUACAGAUAUGCUCAUCCUCCAUAAAUUGUUUUGGUCCAAUCUCUGAACAGCUUCCAGACCGAAAUACAGGUACAAAUGGUGAAUUACUAUCUGAUGAGGAUUUUGAGCUAACAACUCCACUGUCGAACUCCUGAGUGAACACACAAUAUCAAUUUCCAUCAAAAUUAUAUACAAAUGAAUUAGGAAUAAAGCUAACUGAUACAAUGAUACAGUCGGAAUAUAGGCAAUCUCACCAUUUCAGUAACAGGAGCCAACUGGGCAGAGCUGACACAGUACCUAAUAGCUGAUACAUGCCUGGGAGGUUUGCCGAUGUUGGGUUGCUUCAUGUUAUCAAAAGUAUUUGAUUUCUCGUCCCUUGUAACAGUUAUGUUCUUUCUGUAACUGCCAUCUAAUAUGGAAAGUGAAGAUGGGGUAUCUGUCCCUGCAGCCAUUUUCUUUCCAAAACAUAAUCCGCUCCUUGAUCGAAAAUUCGAUCCGAAGUAUUCCCUCUCCAGCGCUCCUUUUUUUUAUUAUUACAAAAAACUAGUUCAAACUUCAAGAGCUUUGAUUAACCAGAUCACAUACACACCCCAAACGGUACCACACAAGUAGUUUCAAUAUCAAUCCUCCUUUUCUCUUGUUUCUUCAAAUACUUUGUUGGGUACCUGAGUAGAAAUAACCAGAAAAAAAAAAUUCUCAACUGACUUCUCCAAUACUUUAUUCUGCUAAACAGAAAAAUCAAAUAUCCCAACUAAAUCUAUGGAACCAAAAUCUACAACUAAAUAGUCUUAAAUUCAACUAAAAUGAAAACACAAACUCCCUAAAAAGCACAUCCAGAUCAUGUUGACAAAACCCAUACACAAAUCCAGCAAACCAAAGUCUACCACAACUCAAAACCCACAAAAACUAUCCUAACUCUGGAACAAACAAAGCACAAAGCUUUUCAUUUCCAAAUCAAAAAAGCACAACACCCAGAUUCAGACUCCAAAAAAUUCAACCCAAAUAUAGAAACCACCACACAAGUAAAGCAAAACAAGUCAAACCAAACAAAACCCAAAAUCACUAGCAUCAAAAAACUCCAACUUGAAUCACACACCGUAUUACACAACUCUUUAACCCACAAAAAGAUUCAAGCUUUGCACACAAAUCAACACCAAAACAAAAAUAGUUGGUAAAAGAUGAUGAUGAAACAUACUUGCCGUACAGUUGAGGUAAGCUGAGAGACCAAAACAAUCUUCAAAGGAGAAUUUGGAAAAGGAGAGAGCAAAAGGGUUGGCCAAGUCUCCAAAGCUUUCAAACUCAAAAAUGAAAAUCGUUUUUUUUUUUCAUAAAUAUUUUUCAGGUUUUCCGGGUUGAUGUUGAUUCGUUGAAUAAAGGGGUUGAAGAAAAUGGAGUGCACCGGCACGUGGCUCUGGGCGACCGGCUAUGGCAGGUGGAUGUGAUGAGGUUGUGAGUAAGGGUAGCGGGUGGACCGACACGUGGCGGGGGAGGGGUAGAUAUUUGGGGGUGUUUACCGGAUAAAGGGGGAGGUGGUAAAGUUCAGCAAUUGCGGCUGGGGUUGGCCUACCACCGUUGGAUUGGAACAGUUAAGGAUGGACGGCGAGAUGGGGGCUGACGGUUAUCACCAAACGUGGGAAUCAAUAGUUGACGGUCGUUGACUUUGCGGAAAUGGCUUGUGUUGUCUCGGAGGUCAUCUUCUAUCCUAUCUAACCACCAAAAAUGGAGGCUUGCAAAACAUGGGUAGAUUCUAUAACAUCAUCAACACUCACCGUCUACCUUAAUCAUUUUUAAGUAGAAUACCGAGAAGUUCGUAAAACUACCUUAAUCAUUUUAAAGUUUGAACGUUACUCGUACUAGAUAUGUUGUUAUAUUUCUUAGAACCGUAGAAGUUGACUAUAAAUGUUGUAAAUUCGAGCUAUUUUCUCAUAUUUUUCUAGCAAGGGUUUCCAUCAUUGAAAUUUCCAUUCGUUUAUUAUUUGUCUUAUAUGUUGAUAUAUUAUUUUGUCAAAGUAUGUAAUUUUAAAUUUUCAUAAUUAGCCCUUAAGAUUGAGCCGUUGUUUGAUAUGGUAUCAUAAUUCUAAUCAUAACAUAUUAGAUCGGAGUGACUCCUCACAUGAAUAAUUUAUUCUCGUUUAUGAUUAGCUAUUGUUAGAAGGUCUCAAAUUGUACUUGAAUUUAUAGUUUUCCUCAAAGUUUCACACUUCUUAAUUUUUAUUUUGGUGACGAGCCAAAUAAUCAAGCUAAGGAAAUGAAGAUAUGAGAUGCCCUUAUUAUUUUCUUAUUUAAGAUUUGAAUUAUAUAUCAUGUUUCGAUUUAAAGAUACCAAUGAAAUAAUAAAGAAAACAGAUGCCCUUCCCGUAUGAAUUUCCUAUCGAUCAACCAAAUGAGGGGGACUGUCGUAACAUGUUUUUUGUUCUUUUCUUUUUGAUGACAUGUUUUUUGUUGUUCUUUGAUAGUGAGGUAUUGCCCAAAACAGUACCUUUGAAGCUGAUCACUGAUGUGAUCAAUUGUGUGCAUGACAUAUAGUUCAGCCUGCAACAUCAACUGUCAUCUUCUUUUCAGUAGGUAAAACAUGGGUUUCAUUUUCAUGCUUAUAAUUUGCUGCUAUCUGUCAUAGGAUUUGACAUGAAUGAUCAUCAGCUACAAAUGCCACAUUCAUAGAUUCCUGUAAGCAUAAUAUUGCUGCCAUUCUUUUCUGAAGCACUUGAGAUUCUGAAAGUUUUGCUAGUUUCUCGGAUUAAUUCAUACCAAAGUAUGUUGAUAAGAAGUUUUCCGAAGCGUUACAUGAUUGUAACUCUAACUUUCAUCAGCACAUGUAUUUGCUACAUCGAACGAGUAGGAUUUUCGAUUGCAUACACAGCUGCAGCAGAUGCUUCUGGUGUAAGUCAAUCAAGCAAAGGCACCAUUCUGUCUACAUUCUAUUAUGGCUAUGCCUGUUCACAAAUUCCUGGAGGUUGGGCAGCCCAAAGGUUAGGAGGAAGGUCUGUUCUCCUCAUCUCAUUUGUUACAUGGUCCUUAACGUAUGCAUUUGUCCCUCUGGACCCUAAAAAUGUCAAAACUAUGGUUUUGGCUCGGUUGCUUGUUGGUGUGGCACAGGGGUUCAUGUUCCCUUCCAUCCACUCCGUUCUCGCGCAGUGGAUCCCACCAAAUGAGAGGUCUAGAGCAGUUUCCCUCACAACUUCUGGGAUGUACCUUGGUGCAGCUGCAGGUAUGCUUGUGGUUCCAACCCUAGUGAAGUUGACAAGCCCCCAAUUUGUGUUUUUGGGUGAAGCAACUUUAGGGACUAUUUGGUCAGUGCUUUGGUUAAACUAUGCUAGUGAACCACCAAUUCAAUUGUCUAAGCAAAAUGGAGCAUUUCCAAAUCCUACUAGAAAAACCAAAAUUCCAUGGAGGAGUACUUUUAGAAGCUUACCUAUUUGGGCUAUUGUGGUGAACAAUUUCACUUUCCACUAUGCUUUGUUUGUGAUGAUGAAUUGGCUUCCAACAUACUUUGAACAAGGCUUGAAGCUUAGUCUUCAAGAAAUGGGGACUUACAAAAUGGUGCCUUAUUUCAACAUGUUCAUGUGCUCCAACAUUGGUGGAUUUGUAGCAGAUUAUUUGAUCACAAAGAGGUUCAUGUCUGUGACUAGAACUAGAAAGUUCUUGAACACUUUAGGAUUCAUGGUUGCUUCUAUUGCAUUGAUGGCACUGCCCAAAUUCAGAACUUCAUUUGGGGCUGUGAUAUGUUCUUCUGUGGCACUUGGUUUCUUGGCUCUAGGGAGAGCUGGGUUUGCAGUGAAUCACAUGGACAUUGCUCCAAGGUAUGCAGGAAUUGUUAUGGGUGUUUCUAAUACAGCUGGUACAUUAGCUGGGAUAAUUGGGGUUGAUCUCACUGGGAAACUCUUAGAAGCUUCUAGAUCUGCUUAUGAUUCCAAUCUUUCGAGUCCAGAAAGCUGGAGAUCAGUUUUCAUGAUCCCUGGGGUGCUUUGCAUUUUCAGCUCAAUCGGGUUUUUGCUCUUCUCAACUGGUGAGAGGAUUUUUGACUGAGUUAUCUUGUUAUGUACUUGGAAGCAGAUAAAUCAGUUGAACUAGUAAAGACCUGCAUUCUUGUGAUAUGUAGAUAAAUGAACUUGAACCUAUGAGUCCAAGUUUUAGUAUUUAGAGAAUUUUGAAGGUUUUUUUAUUUAAAUUUUCAGCACUCAAUAUAAAGCAAAAUGAGUAGGGUUUGAAUGAACUUCAAGCUUGAUCUUCUCCAGAUCAAGCAUGGUUUAAGAUGCCAACCAAAUUUGCUUUCAUGAAAGAAUUUGCUUUCACCUGUGGAACUUGUGGAUGCUCAUAAAAAAAUGAUUGAUAACACAUUUAUGCCCAAAUGAUCCAUAAGGGAAAAUAAAUAAAUAUGGGCCGCUGAGUUUGGGCUGUAAUUUACAAUCAGUCACUACUCAACACCAUUUUUCACACCCUCUCAUAUGAUAAAAGAAGUUCAUAAGCAAUCAAAGGGACAAAGAAUUCAGCCAUGCACUUGUUCCAAAGAUUGACUGAAACAAAAGAUGAGCACAAACAGUGCCCCUCCACAAAAGACCCUGUGGAAACCCACUAGCCCAAGUUGCAAGUUGCUUUCCUUCUUUGGUCUGAAGUAUUCUCAUGGCAUUUUAAUAAUUGAAGCAACUUGGGCACUGCAAGGAAAGCAAUGGGAUUCUUCUUCUUCUUGUGAGUUUUGCUAUUCUAGCUUUACUUUAGUGGCUCUUCACCUUUGUUUUUGCCUUAUUUGUCUAAUCAAUUCUGUUCCUUUUUCUGUCUUUGUAUGCAACUAGAUAUUAAUUAAUAAAAUGUAUUCUCUUGCUCUUUAGAAUGCGGUGGUUGUUUGACCCAGAGUUACCAGCUCCACUUCUUGUUCCUUUCUUCUAUCCCCUCUGAAUCUCCUGAAUUAUUGUUUUUUUUUUUUCUACUUUUUUUUUUUGUGGUGAUCUUUGGUGGGCACUGCACAUAAAUUUUUGCUUUAGAAUCGAGACAGAUUUGUGCUUUUGGUUUGUUUCACUGUCUUCACUUUGGGUUUUGGCAUAGUCCUUUAACUUUGAUAACCUAUUGUAUUUAGCUCUGUUUGUUUAAGCUUCAAAUUGGCAGUUCUUCUUCUCCUGGAAAACUUCAUUAGCACCAAGAACUAUAUGUAGUGUAUGAAAUUGGGUGGUGCUAGCUGUUUCUUUGAUUCUUUCCCAAUUGAAAAUACUACAGUUUGAGUUUUAAGUUGCUUGUAGAUAAAACUACCAUAGAAAACUAUAUUUAAUCUGAUUUUGAAGUUGAAUUUUAUUGUUCCAUUUGUUCAUUCUGUUUCAAACUUUCAAUAUAAGAAAUUAACUUAGCAAGGUUCUCAGUACUGUAAUACCACAAUGAAUCGCAUUUGCCUGUUGGCAAUCCUCAUCAUCUGUGUUGGAAGAUUCACAGAAGGAGCAUCAAGACCUGCUGUUGUGAACAUUGGAGCUAUGUUUGCAGUAAGCACCAUAAAUGGAGGAGUGUCCAAGAUUGCCAUUAAGGCAGCUGAGGAGGAUGUGAAUGCCGAUCCAAGCAUUCUUAGCGGAACAAAAUUUUCUGUAUCUAUUCAUGAUUCAAACUACAGUGGAUUUCUCAGCAUCAUUGGAGGUAUACAAUUUUGCUUCUGCAUGCCUACUUUUUACUUGGAACAAUUGUGUUUGACCAUAUGUAGUUACAGUUUACAUUUAUUGUUGAUCACAGCACUAAAGUACAUGGAGUCUGAUACAGUGGCUAUAAUUGGUCCCCAAACUUCUGUCAUGGCUCAUAUAAUCUCACAUCUUGCAAAUGAACUACACGUGCCGUUACUGUCAUUCACUGCACUAGAUCCCACUCUAACAAGCCUGCAGUACCCUUACUUUCUUCAAACUGCACCAAAUGAUCAAUUCCAGAUGAAUGCUAUUGGAGACAUUGUUAGUUAUUUUGGUUGGAAAGAGGUGGUUGCACUUUUUACUGAUGAUGAUCAGAGCCGAAAUGGUGUCACUGCAUUAGGUGAUAAGCUUGCAGAAAAAACGCACAAGAUUUCUUACAAGGCAGUACUUCCACCUGAUCCAACAGCAACUCGAGAUCAAGUUAAGAAUGAGUUGGUAAAGAUUCAGAUAAUGGAGUCUCGAGUAAUUGUUCUGCACACAUUCUCGAGAACAGGCCUCUUGGUUUUUGAUGUUGCAAAGGAACUUGGGAUGAUGGAGAGUGAAUAUGUCUGGAUAGCUACUUCUUGGUUGUCCACAGUUUUGGAUUCAAAAUCCCCACUUCCUCAGAAGACUAAAGAUUCCAUCCAAGGAGUUCUCACUCUUCGUCCACACACACCGGAUUCACAAAGGAAAAGAGCUUUCAUUUCAAGGUGGAAGAAAUUGAGUAAUGGCACUAUUGGGUUGAACCCUUAUGGUCUAUAUGCCUACGACACUGUUUGGAUUAUUGCUCAUGCUGUCAAUUUGCUUUUGGAUCAGGGAGGUACCAUUUCCUUCUCCAAGCAUACUAGUAUACCUCGUUAUGGGGGAGGCAUUAUGAACCUUUCUGCAUUAAGCAUUUUUGAUGGUGGCCAGCAGUUGCUGGAAAACAUAUUGCAAACCAACACAACCGGUCUCACUGGUCCACUGGCUUUUCAUUCAGACAGGUCUCCAGUGAAUCCUUCAUAUGAUAUCAUUAACAUAAUGGAAAAUGGUUAUCAACAGGUUGGAUACUGGUAUAACAAUUCAGGGCUAUCUGUUGUGCCCCCCAAAACACCAUCUAACUGGUCUAGUUCAAACCAACAUCUAGGUGUUGUUGUAUGGCCUGGAGGAACAACAAAAAAGCCUCGAGGGUGGGUUUUUCCAAACAACGGGAAGCAGUUGAGAAUUGGAGUACCAAAUCGAGUAGGCUAUCGUGCUUUUGUGUCACGACAAAAUGGUACAGAUGUAGUUAAAGGAUACUGCAUUGACAUUUUCCUUGCAGCCAUAAAAUUGCUUCCCUAUGCACUUCCACAUAGGUUUGAACUGUUUGGUGAUGGCCACAAGAAUCCGAGCUACGAUGAGCUUGUUAACAUGGUUGCUUCAGGUGUAAGUAAAACUUACAACGUGGAGACUGCUUAUUUUGUCACAGCAAUAUAUAAAUGAUAAAAAAUAAAUAAAAAAAAGAUGAUCAAUUUUUUUUUCUUCUGUAGAAAUUUGAUGCUGCUGUUGGUGACAUUGCAAUAGUUGCAAAUCGAACAAAGACUGUGGAUUUCAGUCAGCCAUAUAUAGAGUCAGGGCUAGUAGUGGUGGCACCACUUAGGAGAUCAAACUCAAGAGCUUGGGCAUUUAUGCAGCCGUUUUCUCCAUUGAUGUGGGGUAUCACAGCGGCUUUCUUCCUAAUUGUUGGAUCAGUCCUGUGGAUUCUUGAACAUAGAAUAAAUGAUGAGUUCCGUGGCCCUCCUAGGAAACAGAUUGGCACAAUUUUAUGGUAAGCAUUACUUUAGUACAUUGACCAUUCCAAUAUACAGACUUUGCAUAUGUAGUUAUGUACUAAUCUCUACUCUAUGAUUUAUCUGGCUUCCUUUUAUUUUCCAGGUUUAGUUUCUCCACUAUGUUUUUUGCUCAUAGUAAGUCUUCUGAUCUGGCACUGAAUUAUGUCUUCCAACGUACGAAUAAAUUUGGUUGAAAAUAUUUUUUGAUCUUUCAGGAGAAAAUACUGUGAGCUUACUAGGGAGAAUGGUGCUAAUCAUCUGGCUUUUUAUAGUUCUGAUAAUCAAUUCAAGCUACACAGCUAGCCUAACAUCAAUGCUCACAAUACAACAAUUAUCGUCACCUAUCACUGGCAUUGAUACCUUAAUAUCUAGCACUGAGCCUAUAGGAUUCCAAGUAGGGUCUUUUGCUCAAAACUAUCUGAUUGAGGAACUCAACAUCCCAAACUCUAGACUGGUUCCUCUCGGUUCACCAGAAGAAUAUGCAAGAGCCCUUAAGAAUAAAACUGUUGCUGCUGUGGUUGAUGAAGGACCUUACAUAGAACUCUUCCUCUCAGAUAACUGCAUGUUCUCAAUCAGAGGGCCAGAAUUCACCAAAAGUGGCUGGGGAUUUGUGAGUAUCUCAACAUAAUUGCUUUGCAUCUUCCUAUAUACAAUUACGUGUUACUUUCAAUUUUCCAAACUUUUAUUUGCUGAAUGGUCUAUCAACUUGAAUUUUGAUGAUUAUCUAAAACAUAUUCUGGUUAUAUGCUAAUUCAUUGGGAAGUUUUCUUUAGCUAAACAUUAUAAAAUGUUAUAUUGCCGGACUUCACCCUGAUUGCCUGAUUGAUCUGAUAGAAUCCUGCAUGUUGAAGUAUCUGGCAAGAAAGCAAUAUCAACUUACUUUUUUGUUAUAUGUAUCUAAUUUUGUAGGCAUUUCCAAGAGACUCUCCUUUAGCCAUAGACAUGUCAACUGCCAUUCUCACUCUAUCAGAGAACGGAGAGCUUCAGCAAAUUCAUGAGAAAUGGUUGUCAAAAAAGACUUGUGCGUCACAAACCUCUGACGACGUAUCAGACCAGCUUCAACUACAAAGCUUCUGGGGACUGUUCCUAAUAUGUGGCACUGCAUGUGUCAUUGCUCUAGUCAUUCAUUUUUCAUUGGCUUUUCGACAGUACCUCAGGCGUUCCCCUGAAGAUGAUCACCAAUCUGAUCUAGAGCCUUCUGGCCAUGGCAGCACAAGUUAUGGUACAACUGCAACACGCCGCCUCACAUUCUUGUCAUUCAUUGAUGAAAAGAAAGAUCAAUCAAAAGAUAACAAGUCGAAAAGGAAACGCAAGGAAAUAGCAUCAUCUAAUAGGAAUGGAAAGGAAGAUGAAUCAAGGGAUGCUAGUACAUCCAAGAGAGUACAAAUGAACAACUCUGAGAUAUUGCAUAAUCCUGAUAAUGAAACUUGGUUAACUCGUUAAAUCGUAUUAUUUGUUGUUUUUGUGUGUGUUUUUCUUUUCCGAUCUGAUCAGUGUUGUUGAGAUUUCUUACAAGAAGUGAAACAUUUACAUCAUGGAGCACACCUCUUUGCAGAUCGUCAUAUCUAUCACUAAAUAUGUUCAUCUAAUAAUAGUUGUCCAAUAAAGUGACCUCUUCCAAAGAAACUAAAAUAAUCUGCAGAGGCUGAUCAUGCACAAUACGAAAAGUAGUGUCUAACUUUGAAAACUAGUUUUUGCUGUGAACACAAUAAAUCUAAAUCUUGAUAGCAAUCUGAUGAAUCUUAAUCUUGAUAGUAAUCUGAUUUUAUAUAAAGUAUAAUCAGACACAGUUAAAUGUGUCCACACAGACCAUAGGAGUUGAUAUUCUCAAAUCAAUCAAGCUAGCACUAUAAAGGCAUGAUAAUGACAAGAAACUUGGUACACAACACCUCAUUCACUCUCCCUUAAACAGUAGUCAUGGGAUUGUUCACAAGAAAUGUUACAAUGCUAAUCUUGUUAGCGCUGUUCUUAACUGUGUGUGAUGCUAAUGAUGCUAAUACAAAAGUGCAUGUUAACAUCACCAAUGAUUUGACUGGAAAUUCAAGUCUGGCUGUUCAUUGUAGAACACGGAUCCGCGACCUUGGUGAUCAGAAGAUUCCCCAUGGAUCUUCCUUCGUAUUUAUUUUUGAUCAGAACUUCAUCACUAAAAGACUGGACUGCAAUGUGCACUGGGAUCAGGCAGUGGCUCGUAGCUUCAUUGCAUACGAUCAAGAUAGAGACAAAUACAGGUGCAGCUCCGGAUUUUGUUUUUGGAGAUAAGAAGCGAUGCAACAUGUAUUCUUAACAAACAACGAGGGACGUUUGAUUGUAAUGCUUGGACUCGUUAGUCUCAAGUCUAUGUACUUCAUCUUCAAUAAUAAUAUUAUUCGAAAGAGCUUCAUUAUUCUUUGUGUCCUUGAAAUUGGAUUCUGGGGCGAUUUAUUUUAUUUCAUGCUUACAUUAAUCUACCUCAAUUUGCUAUCUGACGAGUUGUCAAUUGUUAUUGUUGAUCAACAUAUAGUAGUUCACCUCUGUUGUGUGGUCAUCCUCCUAGCUAUAAUAACUUCCUGUAUGUCAUGAUAUUGGAAAACAUCAAUUUGACUAUAUUUGUUGCAUUUUUUUCUUGAUGAUAUAAUUGUUAUUUUCUUUCAUUUAUCAGUGAAUGACUAAAAACUUCAGCAGCCAGGCCUGAAAGAAGAGGCUCACGAUCAAGUGGUGUUCAUCUUCAGGCGAAUGUAUGGCAAUUAUUUCAAUCAAAAGUAAUUCUCUAUAACAAUGGUUACAAACACUACAUUAACAUUCAAUUUGGUUACAUUUUUCAAUUUAGUCUAAUUAACACUACAUUAACAUUCUAUUAAGAUCUCAAUUAUUUCUCCUUAGAUGAUUUAGCUUUGUUUUCACAGCUGAAGUUUUAAGCCUUCCAAUUUUCAUCUUGAUCUCUUCCAGAACUUAUUCCUGUCUCCAUCUCUCUCUCACACAACUGAGCUCCCAUCCUAUCGUUGAGUAUUGACAUAGGAAAAUGGUGACAUUGCGCAUGAGUUGUAGUUCAAAACGAUAAUGGAUAAGUUGUUGUUGAAUACCUGAAUUAAGAUAGUGCUCAAUAUCUGGAAAAGUACAACAUGUACCUAAACAGAUUCACUUUACUGUGCUCAAAGUACAGUUCUUUCUGUGUUUUACUGUCAUCACUCAUCACCCAUAUGACAGUAAAAGCUUUUGUAUUUAUUUUUUUUGGUAUGACUGAAAACCCAUGACAGCGGUCGCUGAAGUUUCUUCUUCUUCUCUGCUUCCCAAAGCCGCGUUAUGGCGGGUGGGGUCUCAGCAAUGGUCCCAAGCCCAGGCAGCACCGCGACCAUUCUGUUCCAACCCUUAAAUGAUAAUGUACCUAAAAAUUGGUCCUGAAAUCUCUUUCAUAUUUUAGAAACAAAUAAAAUAGCUUUCAACCGAAAACAAAUGAAACCAAAAAUAAAAAACACUCGGGGUUCGGUUACAUGAGCUUUCAUGGCGUUUUGUAUUACUAAACUACAAUGUUCCUAAAGAUUCUAAGUACAAUAUCUUAGAGAACAGCUGGAUUCGUGGGGGUUGGUUUGUCUCUGAGUCUGAGGUUGUUCUAUUUCCGUAUCCAACUCUUUUUCUCCUUUUUUUUUUUUUUCGUGGGGUCCUCUCCAUAUUUUAGCCACUGUAAUUGACAGCCUCAUCAACAGCCUGGAAAAGGUGGCCGGCACUAAAAAGCUUAGACCUUGAUGGGUUUCUAUGGUGGGCUUCACGUUCUAGUGCACACCCAGUUCUCUGUGCUGCAAAAAGUUUCAAUCUUGCUCUCUCAUUGAGGUAAUGGCUUUAACAAAGUUCAAAUCUUUUUUUGGUUUAUCUGUUUGUGUUGCUGAACUUGGAUUUGUUUGAGUUUGGUCUACAUUGGAGCUACUGUUAAUGCUUUUAUCUUUUUUGGCAAUGCUAGGAUUUUCCUACUUGGUAUAGAAGAACUGGGUAUUUGGGAUUGAGUGCAAUAGAUCUGAGGUGUUUGAAGUUGUGGAGUUUAGGCAUUUGGGAUAGUGGGGCUUGUGCUUUGCUGAUCUUUUGGUGGGUUGGUUGGAUUUGAUCAUGGUGAAGAUGAAACUAGUCAGUUGGGUAGCUUUGGUUCUGGCAAUUGUUGUGUCUAUGAGUCAUGGAGCCUUUGGUUUAUUCAAUCCUGUUGAUAACUAUUUGAUUGCUUGUGGUUCUUCGGAAAAUGUCACAUUUGAAGGCCGAACCUUUGUUCCUGAUACACUGCAGUCUUCCCUUGUGCUGAAAGGUGCUAAUUCUUUAGUUGCUAGCUCCAGUUCCAAUGCCCCAUCUCCUAUUUACCAAUCUGCUCGAAUUUUCAAGGAAACAUCUUCCUACAAAUUCAAAAUCCAGCAAGAGGGCCGCCAUUGGGUUCGCCUUUAUAUCUACCCUUUAGCAAAUUCGGUCCAGAACUUGGCGUCUGCUCCGAUAACAGUGGUCACUGAUAGCUUUGUACUCUUGAAUAACUUCACUUUUCAGAACUAUAAUGGUUCUUAUCUAUUCAAGGAGUAUGCAAUCAAUGUGACUUCAGAUAGUUUGACCCUAACCAUCAUUCCUUCAAACAAUUCAGUUGCUUUUGUUAAUGCAAUUGAAGUUGUCUCUAUCCCUGAUGAACUGAUCCCUGAUCAGGCAUAUGCUGUAAAUCCAUCUGCUCCUUUUAGUGGUCUUUCGGCACUUGCUCUUCAAACUAUGUACCGAUUAAACAUGGGGGGUCCUUUGCUCACUGCUGAGAAUGAUACCCUUAAAAGAACUUGGGAGAAUGAUGUGAAAUACCUCCAUGUCAACAGCUCAGCAGUGAAUGUAUCAAUCAACCCUGCCAGCAUAAAGUAUCCGGUCAGUGUAACACCAGAGAUAGCACCUAAUUGGGUCUAUGCCACUGCUGAAGCCAUGGGAGAUGCGAAUGUACCAAAUGGAAAUUUCAACAUAACUUGGGUCUUUCCAGCUGAUCCAAAUUAUUUGUAUCUUGUUCGGGUACAUUUCUGUGAUAUUGUCAGCAAGGCACUGAAUAGCCUAGUUUUCAAUCUUUUCAUCAAUUCAGACAAUGUGCUCUCAAGUCUUGACCUCUCUUCCAUUACUGGUGACUUGAAUGUGCCAUAUUACAAGGACUUUGUUGCCAACUCCUCAGCAGAUUCAAAUACUUUGACAGUCAGUGUCGGUCCAGAUUCAAUGGCUGAUAUCACUAAUGCAAUUCUGAAUGGCUUGGAGAUUCUGAAGAUCAGCAAUGACUUGGGGAGCUUGGAUGGGUCUUUGUCAGUUCAGAGUCUCCUUCCCAGUUCACCCUCUAAGAGUAAUAAGAUAGUAAUCUUAGUUGGGUGUGUCAUAGGAGCUGUAGCUCUUGUGGCAAUAAUUGCUCUCUUUUAUUGCUGCCUGGCAUCUCGCAAGUCAAAGACUACUCCUAACCAAGGGCAUCCAUGGCUGCUUCUGCCCUUGUAUGGAAACUCUCAGACAAUGACCAAAAUGUCCACAACUUCACAGAAGAGUGCAACAGCUAGCUGCAUUUCAUUAGCUUCCUCUAAUCUUGGCCGCAUAUUCAUGUUCCAAGAAAUCCUGGAUGCAACCAACAAGUUUGAUGAGAACCUACUUCUUGGGGUUGGUGGUUUUGGCAGAGUUUACAAGGGAACACUAGAGGAUGGGACAAAAGUAGCUGUUAAAAGAGGAAACCCCAGAUCCGAACAAGGUAUUGCUGAAUUCCGAACCGAGAUUGAAAUGUUAUCAAAGCUUCGUCAUCGCCACCUUGUGUCUCUUAUUGGUUACUGUGAUGAAAGAUCAGAGAUGAUUCUUGUGUAUGAAUAUAUGGCUAAUGGACCACUCCGGAGCCAUUUGUAUGGAACAGAUUUGCCAACCCUAUCAUGGAAGCUACGCCUUGAAAUCUGUAUAGGGGCUGCAAGGGGGCUCCAUUAUCUCCACACUGGUGCAGCUCAAAGCAUAAUUCACCGAGAUGUGAAGACAACAAACAUUCUCUUGGAUGAGAACUUUGUAGCCAAAGUUGCAGAUUUUGGCCUCUCAAAAGCAGGUCCAGCUAUAGAUCAGACUCAUGUUAGUACAGCUGUUAAGGGCAGCUUUGGUUACCUUGAUCCUGAGUACUUUAGAAGGCAGCAGCUCACUGAGAAAUCAGAUGUGUAUUCAUUUGGUGUAGUUCUAAUGGAAGUUCUUUGUACAAGACCAGCUUUGAACCCGGUUCUUCCAAGAGAGCAAGUGAACAUAGCAGAGUGGGCAAUGACUUGGCAAAAGAAAGGCAUGCUGGACCAAAUCAUGGACCCAAAUCUGGCUGGGAAGGUAAAUCCAGCUUCUCUUAAGAAGUUUGGUGAGACAGCUGAGAAGUGCCUUGCCGAGUAUGGUGUUGAUAGGCCAUCAAUGGGAGAUGUCUUGUGGAAUCUAGAAUAUGCUCUUCAGCUUGAGGAGACUUCGUCUGCACUCAUGGAACCUGAAGAUAACAGCACAAACCACAUACGGGAUAUUGAAUUGACACCACUUGAGCCAUUUGACAACAGUGUGAGUAUGAUCGAGGGAGGGCACUCUGGCACAGACGAAGACGCUGAAGAUGCUGCAACAAGUGCUGUGUUCUCUCAGCUAGUUAAUCCUCGUGGAAGAUGAGAAGAAAGAUGCUUUGCCUUUCGCAUUCUUUGUCCACAAUGUCCCAGGGAAAGAGAUACUGAUCAUCCUGGCCUUGAGAAUGCUCAAUGAGUGAAGGUUAUUUCUUGGUUCAUUACUAGUCUGUUACCUCAAUUUUUUGUCCACUAUUUACUUUGUAAUAUAGUUGUGGUGGAUGACAGUUAAUCUAUCAUAAAAAUUGUACGUAAGGUGCCAAAAGAUUUACUUGUAUUCAUAUAAAAUUCAUAUGGGUUACAGAGUUCCCAUGUUUUUACCAAAGUACAUGAUGUCAUUGUAUUCACAUAUAAUUUUUUGUUCAUAAGGUACAGAAAAUAAGCAGAGUUAGUGAUUAUGAUAUUCUAAUCUAGCCAUCUUCAUACUGUUCUGAGAAUCAUGUUUGUGUAGAAAUUACAAAUUAUUCAUAUUCAAUCUCUUUCAAGUAUCUCAGUAAAGUACCUUUGUUCUAAACUUGAGAUCUUGGAAUAGACAAUCAUAAUGCUGUAAGAGCAGCCUUGGGUUGAAAGUUACACUCUUUAUAUUAGAAAUUGUGGAUUUUGUUAUCUUCCUUUGUCCCAGGUACCACACUAACUGAAAUUUCAGCAACUUGAGGAAGUGACUAAGAUAGCAUUCUUGUAUGAAGUCCUCUCCACUCUAAUAGAAGCUUCCUGAGAUUCCUGAACAGAGAGAUGUGAUUCUGGAUGAUUGGCUCCUCUCCAUGUCAGAGAACUUCACGUGGUCAAUUUCAUAGUCCCAUGUUGCUGAUGGGGUGACCUCAAGUGUGAAGCUGUUAGUCCAAGGACUUGAAUGAGUUGAAUUCAGGUAUAGUCCCUGCUUCAGCCUUUAUGGCUGAGACCAAUGAAGCAAGCAUUGGUUUGGAGGUUUGGAUCGGAAACUGAGCUGAAAUGCUUGUUUUUCUCAUGUUUGUUGUCAUUGUACCAACUGGAUUCACAUGCAUCAUGGCUUAGCUGUGUUAAUGAGUUUUUCCAGAGGGCCUGGUAGUCGUAGCUUUAUUUAGCUAUCCCAAGCUUGGCUGCAGAUUUUGAGUGGAACACAACUUUUAAACAAUUUCAUUGUUAGUAGGUUGUGAAAUGUGGAUAUGAGAAACUGCUUCUUAAAUUUUUCUUGCUUCGGGUGUAGAAGAGAAUUGUGGUAUGGUAUAUACGGGGUUUUACCGCUUGUUUUUGAGAACAAUGUUUGGUACUGGUUGAAUUGAGUUGGUUUCUAAGAUCAAGUGUGUUCGAGAGCUGAAACUAUAGCAUUCAAAAGCUUGGGUUUUGGUAUCAUCACUAUCAUGCAGGUGUUUCCUUGCUGAGUUGCUGAUACAGCAAUGAAGCUUAAAGCGUGGGUGCAUGCUUGCUUGCUAAUCUGUUAACAUUUGACAUGUACUGGUGUGUAGUCCAGUCACCUUCUGUGAACAUCAACAUUACAACAGUAGUAACUUGCUCAUCAAUCUGCGGCCACAUCGCUUUCUAAUCCGAACAAAUGCAUAACAUCUUCUGGAAAUGAAGAUAAGUACGCCUGAUCUAUCCCUGGCAAUGCCGAAAGCGUUGGCAAUGUUUUGGUAUGCUUUCGCGCCCCAUUGGGCAUUGGCAAUGUCUCCUCACUUGAGUCACUUCUGCCCUCUAUUUCUCCUUUCCUAUUUCCAUGUUCUCAAUCUUAUUUAGUCAUUCAACCUAACUUGUUCAUUUGUUUCAUUUCUCUUCUUUUCCCCCAAACACAGACUCUUUUGCCAUAUCUUAAAUCAAGUGAAUUAAGAUCUACAAACCUUACAACUCUGGCAGUUUAUACGUACUCAAACCUUCGUAGUAUAACAAGACUCCAAAUUUCAGCCACUUGACAAACACCUACAAGACCAAAUCUAGACUCUUUGAUUCGAUUACCACAUGGCAUACACAUAACGUUAAAGCAGAAUCAAAGUAUACAUAUGUUUUUGGAUUGGAGCAUUCUACUUUGUAGUGUAGCUUUGGGUUGAAAAAGUUCAUAGCUUUACCCAUUAACUGUUAUAUCUGAUUAAGCCUAUACUUAACAUAGCUAUGGGAAGAAGACCAAAUGAAGACUUUUACAUGAACCGUUGGAUGAGUGUUAGAAAGUUUAGUAAUAUUUUCAAAUUUGAAGAAUUGAAGAUGCAUACGUUCUAAACAUUUAUUUAUCUAUCAUACGAUAUUAUUAUAAAUUGACGAUUACUCUAUUUUUUACAAACAAGUUUUUAUUUAUUUUUUAUUUAUUUUUAUUUUUUUAAGGAAAACGGAUAACUCCAUUGAUGAUCAUCAUAACGAUCUUACAAGAUCAAGUUUGAAGGUCAUACACGACUUCAUAUAAUCAUCAACUACGCAAUGACUGGAUUCUACACCUAUAAUGGGAAUGCAACUAAAAAAUAACCAAAGUCUUAACAAAAGCAAAGCUGAAUGAAAACGAACAAGAAUUGAAAGACUCAACAAAAACAAAAUAGACUCAGCAGAAGCAAAACUGACUCAAUUACUAAAGAGACUAAACUGCUACAACAUUACACAAUUUUAAGAUCAAUCAACCAAGAGGCUUAGGGCCUAAAGACCUUCAUGGUGUACCCCUCCACCUCUAAAUCAACCAAAAAUCUAAAAUCAUGUAAUGUCGUCGCAAUCAACCUCAUUCCUCAACUGUUGGAACGAGCUCUCCCUCCUCCCCACCUCCGAGAUCACACUAAUCUCAAAAGCAAUGGGCGCUGAGAGAAUAGGGAUUUCCUCCUUUGGCUUCGGCUUGUUCAUGCUGCCACAUGGACUACCAUGUUUCAUGGAUCCACUGCUCCUAAAUAGCUCCAGCCCGCCUAUAUUUUUUGAAAACCCUAGCUGCUCACGUUGCAGCUCGAAAGAAAUGUGAAACUCAGAUAUAACGACGAGUUUAAUAUGAGUCAAACUUACGACCUCACACUCACAAAGAAAGACUUAUGCCAUUUGACCAAAUGAUACUAGGUUUUUACAGUUUUUUUUUUUAAGGAAACAUGUCAAACUUUAUUGAGAAACAAAACUAUUACAUAAUGGGAAAUUCAGCUGCAACAACAGCUUGUAUAAAAGACGGAACUCUAAAAUAAAAAAAUAAAAAAAGUAAUGUUAGGUGAAUCACAUUUUGAUGAACCACCAAGAGCCCACCUUACGUGGCAGAUGACGUGACAUGCCUACUCAUUAAUUAUGUGUCAUUUCUAAUAUUUUCAAAUUUCAGUUUUUUUUGUUAAUUACGAAAUUUCUUUUCAUUUUUACUUUCUUAUUUUUAUUUUUUAACCCAUAUCCUUUAUCUUACUAAUCCUUAAAAAAAUUGAUCAAAAAAACUAAUCCUUAAAAAAAUCUUUAUGAAAUACCCUAGCCUGCUCUUGUCUCACUCAUUCGCUCCCACAUCCCUCUUCAAUUUAGUCGAUUAAGGAAUUCUCAAGAUCCAUGGAAAAUGGUUGAUUGUUGACACCAAUGAUCAACCAUUUUGACGAUGUUCCCCUCCAAGAUGUACACACAACACAGAACUUUAAUGAAUCAAUGAGUGAUAACCACUUCACCAACAUCUCAAUCAAGUCAUCAGGAAUAUGAUAAGACCACCUAUUCGAGAUAGAGACUACUCCAUUGGCAAUUUCACCAUACGCAUCUACUAAUUCUAAUUGACGGAAAAGUUUAUUUUUCAAUGUAUCAUCUUCGACACUUGUUGCGUUAAUUCUACCAUCGGCCCUGCUGCAUCUUGGGAGAGGUCGACAUCAAACUGAGAAUUCCUUAAUCAAUUAAAUUGAUGAGGAGGUGGGAGGAGGGGUGAGAUAAGAGGAGGAUUGGAAUUAGGGCAGAACUACGUUUGUUGUGGUGUAUUAACGAUUAAAAAGAUAAAUGAUAGGGUUUAAAAAAAUAAAAAUGAAAAGAAAUUUUGUAAUUAACAAAAAUAAAAAUUAAAAAUACUAGAAAUAACACAUAAUUGUUAAUGUAGACAUGCCACGUCAGCUGUCACGUAAGAUGAGUUUUUGGUGGUUCACCUAACAUUACUCAAUAAAAAAUCCCUCUAAUAGGAGAAGAUGAGUGAGCCGCCAUUAAAUAUGCCACUCGGUUUGCACUACCUUUGGUAUACGCAAUUCGUAUGGAAUCAGAUGCUUGUAGUAGAGCACCUAUAUCAUCAUAUAAUCUCCCUGUAAUUGAGAAAUUGUUCUGUUGAUUAUUCAGCAGCUGAAGGUUUUUACAGUUAAAAUGGCAUUAGCCCGAAAAAUAAAAUAUAAAUCCAAAAGUGUUUUACUUUAAGGCCGUUGACAACUCGAGAGAGAGAGAGAGUCCUCAAAAAACUCAGAGAGGGUUUAGUCGCGCAGCCCAAAACUAGAGUCUAAACCCCCCAAAAACCCCAAACUCUCAGUGACAGUGAGUCAGCCAUGGCUGUCUGCCACCACCAAGCUCCCUUCAAGCUCUUCUCACCCCUCCCACCACCAAACCCAAAACCCAUCUUCCGAUGCAACCUCUCCCUCCCCUCCCGACCCACCAUCCUCACCGCCGACCCCGAACCCCUCUUCACCUCCGUCAAGACCUUCGCCCCCGCCACCGUCGCCAACCUCGGCCCCGGCUUCGACUUCCUCGGCUGCGCCGUCGACGGCCUCGGCGACUUCGUCUCCCUCACCGUCGACCCCCAAGUCCUCCCCGGCGAGAUCGCCAUCUCCGAGAUCUCCGGCGACCACAACUCCAAGAAGCUGAGCAAGAAUCCCCUCUGGAACUGCGCCGGGAUCGCCGCCAUCGAGGUCAUGAAGAUGCUCGGCGUCCGCAACGUCGGCCUGUCCCUCUCCCUCGAGAAAGGCCUGCCUUUGGGUAGCGGCCUCGGAUCCAGCGCCGCCAGCGCAGCCGCCGCAGCCGUCGCUGUCAACGAGAUUUUCGGCGGGAAAUUAGGUGUGGAGGAGCUGGUCCACGCGGGGCUCAAAUCGGAGGAGAAGGUGUCCGGUUACCACGCCGAUAACAUCGCUCCGGCGUUGAUGGGAGGCUUCGUUCUGAUCCAGAACUAUGAGCCGUUGGAUUUGCUCCGGUUGAGCUUUCCGUUAGAAAAGGAGCUGAUAUUUGUGCUGGUGAGUCCAGACUUCGAAGCUCCGACGAAGAAGAUGAGGGCGGCGCUGCCGACGGAGAUAGGGAUGGCCCACCACGUGUGGAAUUCCAGCCAGGCCGGAGCUCUGGUGGCGGCGGUGCUUCAAGGCGACGUGGCGAGGCUUGGGAAGGCGUUGUCGUCGGAUAAGAUUGUGGAGCCGAAGAGGGCUCCUCUGAUUCCGGGAAUGGAGGCGGUGAAGAAGGCUGCCAUUGAGGCUGGAGCUUUGGGGUGCACUAUCAGCGGGGCUGGGCCCACGGCGGUUGCGGUGACGGACAAUGCCGAGAAGGGGAAGGAAAUUGGAGAGAGGAUGGUGGCCGCUUUCUUGAAAGAUGGGAACUUGAAAGCUGUGGCGAGUGUGAAUAGGCUGGACAGAGUUGGUGCUAGGCUUGUUAGUAGCAUUCCCAGAUGAAGUGGUGGAGUUGUUCUCGGGAUUUGAGUGGUGCUCGUAGGUGAGCUCUUUAUGUUGCUUUAGAAUUAGCAGUAAGUUCCCACAUUUGUGAUCCGAAGAAAGAUUGAAAACAAAAAAGAUUGAAAACGAGUGAUGUAUGUGUUUGAUUGAGCUGAGUUCAGGCUGGUGACAGAAGUAAAGCUAAUAAAAAAUUCAAUGCAGACUGUUUUGCUAUGCUUCAGUCUUCAUCAUGUUGUUUUUCUGGCUUCUGAUUUGGAUGUGAGCCGAGUCCUUUGUGAAUUGUGAGUAUCUAAUGUGUCUCAGACUUGUAGUUUCAAAGCGUUGUUGGGAAUGGUUUACCUAUUAAUAUUUUUCUUUUCAUCGUUUAUAUAUAAUAUAUAUAUAUAUAUAUAUAUAUAUUGUUAUAUUUAUAUAGAUGUUUUAAUGCCAUAGCUUAAUGGAGAUAGCGAUGAUCAUGUUUCUGUACAUGGUGAAAUGGCAUUAAAAUUAUGGCAAAAUCUGUUUAGGGUUGCUGGGAUGAAUUGGGUUUCUCCAGCAGGGUGCUCUGCUGUAUUAGCCAUUAAGUGAAAAUCACAAUGUCUUUGGCAAAGAAAAAAGUAAAAGUUAUGUUGCAGUGUUUUGGCUGUAAUUUGCGUAAUUUCAGCUUUGUGGGCUUCAGUUUCAGUUGAGUAUAAAGACCAUAUUUUCUCCAUUUGUGUAAUUGGAAGGGGCCAUUCGGGUUAUUUGUUUUGGCCUAGGGUUUAUGUCUCUCUUAGGCAAGUCCUCUGUAGUCUUCUUUGUUUGCUGUUGCUUCUAUAGAUAGUUGUGAACUUCAUGUGCACGGCUUUUGUUUCUUCAUGUGUUUGUUAUGCAUGAAAGGUAAAAACAAAUGUAUAAUUGAUAAUCUGAUUGCUUUAUCUAAACAAAAACCUCUUACAAGUUACAAUUGCCAUCUGACUUCUCAUAAUAGUGCUUUGGAGUUUAUGCAUUUGUUUAUGUUUCAGCUUUUAUGGACUUGUUUUCGAUUUGUUUAUGUGUCCAUUAUGGCGGGUGAUGCUAGUUUUUUCUGUUAACAAAAACGAGUAUUGAACAAUUACUCCAUUAAGGGUAAAAUCACAUCAGCAUCGGUUGUAUGUUCUGCAAGUGCUAUCUUGUUGUGUUGUCUUUGUAUGAAACUCUCUUUAUUCCAUAAUGUUCUGCUGACUGUAUUUAACGAGGUAGUAUUCCGACAAAGUAGAACAAUUACUUUUUUUAUAAAAAAAAAUCUGACAAAAGAUACAAGAAGUCCUAAAUUGGUGCUGUACUCUGUACAAAGCUUAUGUCAUUAGAAAGAAGAAUUUCUGUGAUAAAUAUGAGUCUGGCUUAUACUAAGUUGGGGCAAUGGGAGGCUAUGCCGCUUAACUCUGCGUUUUUUGGAAGAGAAGGUGAAUAUUCAAUUGGUUUAUGAAUCUCAUAUAUAUCCAGGGUGUUUAAAAAUCUCAUAUUUAUCAACUUUUCCUGUUUAUUGAGUAUGUAAAUUCUGGCACUGAAUUUCAGCUUAAUGUUAAAUGGAAUAUGGCUGCAUUUACUUGGACCAUACUUUUCAUUGCUUUGUAGAUGGGAGCUUUGGGUUACUUUGCUUCUGCGGAAGGAACCAAGUAUUUGAUCAUGGGGCUUUUUUGGUGCAGGCUUGGUUAUAACAAUGGUGAAGCACUGAAGCUUGGUCUUGUUGUGAAUUUAUUCAUUACAUGGCCUAGGAGAUGAAUCCAGUUCAUGAAAUUGUAAAGAAGCAGCUUUAGACUUUUGGGGUGGUUGCUGAUUCUGGAGGGGAGUUAGGUGGCUCUAUUGGCCCAGAGGUUUGCUGUUUUCAUGUCUUAGCCGGAAUGAGGUGUAUUACUCUUUUGUGAAUUGGAUUUUCAAUUUUCAUUUUGACAACUUUGGUUUUAUGAGUUUUUCAUUGGAGUUUCGGGAAAUUGUUUUCCUCUUCGAGGCAUAUCUGCUGUCAUUGCAAGAUAUUUGAAUAUAAACUAUUUUUAGCUUAGUACAUUGUGUAUCACGUACCCUUAUCAGCCAAAAUAUAUAGUCACACUCCAUAAUUCCUAAUUCAGGAUGUGAAUAUCAGAUAUGAAGGCUUUUCUGUUGCACUUGAUAUUUUGAUGAUUUACUUGUUUCGUAAAAGAUCAAAUAGUAUCUGUUAUGCAAUCUAUAAUUGAACAAUUAAGAUUGCUACAGUAGUAAUAAUGUUCAUGUAUUGGGAAUUUGGGAUAGUGGAGGAAAUUAAGAAUAAUUAGGAAUGAGUGUUUGCAGUGGUCUUUAAUCACUUGGUCAUCAGCAGCCAUCACUUGUUCUCAGGCAUAUUAACUAAUUAAGUCCUCAAUAAUGAUUAAUAGAGCUAAUUAGAUAUUUAAAUUCCAGUUGAUAAUGGUUCUAAUGUGGUGCCUAUCCAAAUGUGGAGUUCUAGUUCUAAUGUGAUUCUUCCACUGUAUUUAGUUCUACUUCUGCUGUGAUUCGAACUCGAUCUUUAGUUUACCAUCGAUCACUAUAUAUACAUGUAUACAGAUGAAACAUGAUUACAGAAUUGAGGCUUCUUCCUCAUCAGCAACCAAUAUCAGUGCUAGCUUCUACAGCUCGAGACUCGACAGUGAUGGGGUAUCCCGUUGAGCAUGAACUUGCUACCUACUCAUCAUCAUCGACCUUUCUCCAAUCUGGUGGAGCUGCUCAACCAAUUUCUACCCUCCCGCCAAUCCAACCAACCAAGGAGAAUUACUUUCUGUGGAAAUCCUUGUUCAUCUCAGUUCUGAGAGCCUCUGACAUGUUAGACCUGGCAGAAGGUCGAGAGCAGUGUCCACCACAAAGCGAAACCCUAGCUCAUACCAACUGGAUCAAGAGGGACCAAACGUUACUAACUUGGAUCAACUCAAGUUUAUCUGUGAGCCUACUCGCAAACACAGCAGACUUCACUAGCGGACGAGCUCUGUGGUUACACUUGGAAAAGCUACUUUCUGAUCAUGCAACCACUCAUGUACGUGAGCUCAGGAAUCGUUUAACAAACCUCGACAUGAGGAAAGAGCGUCACUCGACGACGCGGGAGAAAACCCCAACCCCGGACGUGAGGGAAGAAAGUAAGUCCAGUCUAGAGAGAUACCUAGAAACAGCUAAAGAAAUCGCUGAUGGGCUCGAAGCUGCAGGGUCACCUGUAGAUGAUUCUGAAUUUGUUUCUUGCGUCCUGAACGGACUUACAAGGUCAUAUGAAGGCUUUGUUGCAUCCAUCAGGGAUCGGCCUGAGCCUCUAACUCGAGAAGAACUGCAGAAGUCACUUCUAACUUAUGAAGCUGAACAUAAAUCCUCGCCGAUCCUUGGGUUUACAUUUGCUCUUUUUGUGCUAACCCUGGUUGUGUACUUGGCCGGUGGAAUAUCCUUUAUAUUCCCUCUAGUUUUAUUUGUUUGUUUGUUUGUUUGUGUGCUAGCAAAACUGAUCUGGGUCAUCAUCUUAUCAAGUUCAAAGAUUAGAGAAAGUGCCCACUGCGAGUAUAUGAAAUUACACACAGAGUCUGUGUGAAUAUAUUCAAGUGUAUUUUUCUUUAGAAGAUAAUGUGAUUUCCUAAUCUUACUGUGAUUGUCUUGUAGCUUGAAAUUGAUGACACAAUAUAACUCAAGUUUUGGUAUAUGUCGAGAUUUAUUUCUAAUCUACUUAACUCUUGGAUAUCAAGUUGAAUGUCAAGAUUGUUUCUCAUAACUGAAGUUGGAUGUCAAGAUUAGUUUUUAGUUAUUUUCUCUCUCCUACAUCGAGAAAUUUAGCUGUAUCACUAAUUUUUAAAGUUGUCAAUUAUUUAAGUAUUCCGUUCAAACUCGGAUUUAUCUCAAAAAUUAAGAAGUUGAUGAAGAAUAAAGUGUAGAGACAAAGAGAUAGCAAGAGAGUCAUCUUAUUCAUUGAUAGGAGCCUUUUAUAUAGGGAAUUACACAAUACCAAUAUGGUAAGGAUAUGAAUACAUAGAUCUAGUCUAACUACAUAUCCUAUUGACAUAAGGCCAAGGCACACAUAGAGAAUAUCCUAGAACAGAAAUUAAAAUAUCAAUACCAUUAGAGAUACUCUAAGCCAUUGAAAAAAGAUUGUUUCCACACAAAAAAAAUUUCAACGAGUUGGGGGGAAUCAGAAGUGGUAACAGAUUUGAAUGAGGUUAAGAACACGAAUUUUAUUUGACAUUUUUCUGGUAAACCCAUCUUCUUCUCUUUUGUUGGUUGCGCGUCUGUAUCACGUUUUUGUUGUUGUAAAUUCAUAGAACAAAUGUGUGCGUCUGAGGAGAAGCAUGAUUUGGUAUGAAUGACUCGUACGUCUGUAUUCAAUUUUGUUUUUGUUUUGGUCAAUUAACUCUUAAAUAGACAUUGCUUUCCAAAACACUACGCUAAACAAUGUGCAAGAGUUUGGACCAUUACUUGUGACCUAUAAUUGCUUUUAGGAAGCGAAACACCGUCCUAACUCUUCACUAUAGAGGUAUUAGACUUCUUAUCUUCCACAAAAUCACGCUAUGAACAAUGUAGAAGAUUUUGAUUUUGGACAAUUGGUAAAGCUACAUUGCUUUUCUAAUAAUUGUGAUGAUGGUUACCAUAAUCAGAAACGUGCUGUGUUUCUCAUGACCAAUCGAUUCCAUCAGUAUCUCAACCAUUACCUACCUGUGCAAAAACAACUAACUUGAAGUUGGUAUUGUUCAUUACAGAUUAGUCUGGGGUGAGCAGCAGCCGAGUUGCAAUCAAAGGUUAGCAAGUUGUCAACCUCACAUGUUUAAAUAAUGAUGUGUGAACUCACAGUUUGGUGAACCCAGGAGCCCAGCAAUUUGGAGUUCCGUGUGGUUGUUAAAGUGUGUAAUCUAUAGCAGUCAUAGAGAUAAGGGUUGUUACUACUUAAAUGAAGACUUAAAUGCUAGAUUAGGACUUGACUACAUUGUUCUCCAUCUUGUCUACCCUGAGGUCUUUAUAUUCUGCAUAUUCUCAUUGUUGAAACCCGGUAGUUAUUCGAGUUUUGAUCAUUCUGUUUUGACAUUAUGUCUCCGCAGUUCAUGUUUCUCAUUGGUAAAUCUCCUAUUGUCAUCAUAUUUCUUCCUUUCUUGUGGAUCUUAGCCUCUCUUAUUUCCAUGGUUACUUUGCCAUUCCUAUGGCUUGCAAGGUUACUAAACCCCAGAGGCCUUGAGGAAAACAUUCUCCGGUCACUUCCAAAGGUCUGGUAUACUGCAGAAGUCAAUGAAAAGCUCAAGGAUUGUGCCAUCUGCUUGAUGGAGUAUGAGGGUGGAGAUGCUCUAAGGGUUUUGCCUCCUUGUGGUCAUGGUUUCCAUGUCAACUGUGUUGAUAGGUGGCUUAAGUGCCACUCUUCAUGUCCAUCGUGUCGCGCCGCUGUGGUUAUGGAGAGCAAAGAAGCACAGAUACUUGGAGAUGCCAAAAGUCCACCAUUUUCAGAUACUGUAUUUGAUGCUUCAAAUCCUUACAGACUGACUUUCUGGCACCUUUGAAUCUCAUUAGUACGUUUAUGUUUGGUGCAGACAUAAAAACAAAGGGCCAAAGAAGAUGAGCAAAUUUACUAAACUUGUAUGUAAAGCGUUCCAGUUACACUAUAGCUAAAGUCAAAUGGUAAAUACCACAAACAAGAUGGAGAUACAAUAAUUUGAUUUAUAGUUUUAAACCGUUGUGAUUAUUGGGACAAAAGGGUAUGGAAGUUUUCUAUUUUCGGAGACAAAAUGUUUUCUGUUUCUCCUUGUCUCAACUCUGAAGACAUAAUUAAAGCAGUCAUGGAUGUUUCAAAUGCUUUCAUUCCCAUAUCCUAAACUUUUGAGCCACAACAGCCAUGGAAACUUUCCUUUCCUUUGAUAUUCUACCCAAGGGUUGAUAUAUAGAUCCUGAAAAGUGAAAACAUCAACUACAAUACUGCAUGAUGCAUGAAUUCAAAGCAAAAGUUUGGAUGCCGAAAAUCAUUACGGUUACACAAAACGCUAUCAAGUCGUUUGUCAUGUAUAACACAAAUGACAGAUAAAAAAUGUAUAUAUCAUCCUUUCUAAAGGAUUCACCGUACAAUUUGCAAAAGUAGCAAGAAAGUAUAAAUUCAAAAACAAGUUUCUAAUUCACAUGUAAACUAAUUGUCUUUGGCAGCUGCAGCAGCCUGUUUUGCACCAACAGCGAAGAACUCGGUGAUAACUUCAAGGGGCAUGCCUUUGGUUUCCGGUACUUUGAUGAAAACAAAAAUCCAAGCGAUGACGCACACUACAGCGUACAUGCCAAAUACGCCAGAUAGGCCGACGGAUUUGAGCAGCACCGGAAGGGAGUAGGUAACGAUGAUGUCACAAAUCCAAAAUGUGAGAGCACAGAUGGCAAUGCAGAGACCCCGGACUCGGGUGGGAAAGAUUUCUGCACAGAGAAUGUUGGGGACUGGUCCGAAUCCCAUCACAAAAGAGCAGAAGUAGAUCACAACGCUACCAGUUGAGAUUGCUGCAUUCACAACACUACCAAAAUUCACAAGGCUUCCAAGGACUAGGAUCACGAGAGAAAGUAUCAAGACAGGGAUAGUGGUGAGCAGUAAGGUCCUGAAUUAAGAAUGAAAAAGAGGGUAAAUGGUUAAGAUACAAAAUACAAAACAAUUAAUUGAAAUUGAACCAUAUUCUUUUGCUUAUUUGAUUAUGCUCCCUCAUCUCAUAGUAAUAACUUGGGAGUCAUUUUGGAAGAUCUUUAACUUGUCAUUACAGAUAACUUCACAUGAUAAGUAAAGUUUUGGUGAUUGGAUUACUAGGGAAUGUAGGCAUAACUUAUUUUGAAAAGACUCCAAAAUUUCUAUAAUUAGAGCUCACACAAAAUAAUUUACCUUCUGCCUGAGAUAUCCAUGAGCCUCAUGGCAACAGCAAUACUAGGAAGCAUCAACAAGGUUGUCAAUCCACUAAUAAGCAGAGAUGCAGAAGCUGAGCUAAGACCGAGGUUUGAAAGAAGCACUCCAACACCGGCCUGCUCAAGAAUUUGAGGUGUGUAGUAGAGAACCCCAUUUAUGCCGGAGAACUGCAUUAUUAUGAGAAACCCUCAGAGGCGUACGAAAUCGAGUAAAAGGGUAAAGAGUAUACAAACUUUAAGUAUAAUCGAAUUCAAACUAUGCCACAAAGAUUACCUGCUGAAGUAUUUGAAGUCCGACACCAACAACCAAAGCAUGCUUGACUCCUGGUUCGAAAAGAUCACUCCAACUUGUCCCUUUAGCAGAAGCUGCAGCUGGGUGAACCAUUGCUGGUCCAACUGGAUGAUGUUGUUGUAUAAGAUCUCUGGAAUAAAGAGCCGGUUGGCUCACCAAAGCAGUAGCCUGGAUGAACUCACUAUCUGCUGGUACAUCGCCACCAGGUAUUGAAACAAUAGACUCACGACGAGAUCCAGGUACACCCUCUUGGUGCAAAAAAAUUCUUUUAAACCCUCCUUCUUUAUGUCCAUCUUGGCCAUCUCUCUCGGACCAUUUCCAUGCUAGCUGCCAACCACCACCAAUCUCAGUGCUACCGCCUUGAUCGCCUCCUAGGAGACUGUUGUUUCUCAUGCUGACAAGGCUUCCAUGAUUAGUUGGGCCCAUGCCCUUUUCAAUGCUUGUUGUCUGACGUGAGAUCAAUGGACUAUGCAAAUUGUCAUCCGAAUCACCACCGCCACCUGCAUCGGAUGCAUAGUCAUCGCCUUCCCUAGGUGCAAUGCUCUCCUCAUCCCACUCUUCGUGCCUAGGUUGAUUCCCUCCCACACUGAACAUGCUGCCAAAGUGUGGGAAAAGCAUACUGCCCUUGCUUCCUGCAUCAGGGAGCUUUUCAUGAACACUACCGAAGAGUGUGACAAGAGGAUCAACAAUCCCACUUUUACUUGCCAUGCUCCCAUGCCGAGACACAAGGCCGAUAGUACUUUGUCCAGUCACUGGUCUGGCAACCCAUGAUUGACCUUGUUCAGUCCCAUAUAAUUUGAUUUUAUCCUUGUCAACAGAUAAAUCAUGGUCAUCAACGAGGUCAUUGUCCGGACCAAUUAUGUAUUCCUCAAAAGAUGUUUCGCCCCCAACUCCAAGACCCUCAACAAGUAAAGCCAUCUCACCUGUUGAUUUGAGAAGGGUCAAUAUCAUUUUGCAUAUGCAGCAUUAUGAUAGUUGUUAUGUUCCUCUAUGAAUGAAAAAUGUCUUAAAUGCAGUAUACAUAAGCGCGGAGAGGACAGAGCAUCAAGUUACCAAAAGAAAUACUGAAAGCUAUUAAGUAUGAAAGAAAGAGAAAGCACCAACACCUUGAUGCUUACACUAAACAUGUUCGAUAAUAUUUAUUUUACAUUUGAGCAAUUGCAGUCCUGAAAAUACUUAUGUGGCAUGUUAUGUCAUAAUUAUAUUUCACCAAUGAAUUUAUCAUUUUAUGUAUCGAAAAACUCAACAUCAGGUAAUACAUUAAGAUGGAGUGCUUUAGACUAUCCUAAAUCAUGGAUAUGAAAUGUAUGAAGCCUAUCAACAUUCACCACCGAUGCAAACAACUAUUUUGCAGGAUCACUUGGAAUUUGAAAGAGUGCAAAGGACUUUUGCUUCACAUAAAAACAUAGAAUUAAAGGUAGUCUUCUUUAUCCCUUCUUAACCUAUGUUGAUCUUGCACCGUAUCACUCAAGUUUAUUAUCAAAAUGAAGAUUUUGGGUCGGAAACCUAUAGCUAGGAAUGUCAAGGUAAGCUCCUACUGAAACACUAAUAAACUUCAUGGAAAUAAAGCAUUUAGUGCAAUCAAUCUUUGCAUCUCAGUAGUGACCAACUAUUCACAGUAACAAGAACAAAAUGACUAACCAGAGACAUCUUCUCUGCUGCGCAGCCUCUGUAAGACUUUCUUUGCUUCAAGCAUCCGUCCCUUACUCACUAGCCACCGUGGAGACUCAGGCAAGAAAAAUAAAGUCAAUGCAAAAUAAACAAGAGAAGGAAUAGAUAAAACCCCAAGCAUCAACCUCCAACUUGGUGCCUCCGUCAAGGACAACACAAAAACCAUACAAUAUGACAAGAACAUCCCACCAGAGCCAGCGAACUGUGGUAGGGUAUUCAAUGAUCCCCUUAUUUCAGGUGGAGCUGUCUCAGAUAUAUAAAGCGGGACAAGGGUAACUGCCAAACCAAUCCCCAGUCCAUCUAAAAGCCUAGCCAAGAGAAGGAUGUAGACAUUGGGAGACCAUAACAUUACAAUACCACUGAGAAAGUAGAGCACAGAAGAGAUUAUAAGCAUAGGACGGCGGCCUAUCCAGUCAGCUACGGCACCUGAGCAUGUUGUAACCAGAGUUGCCCCUAUAAGUGACAUCGCCACUAUCAGCCCUUCCACAGCUGGUUGACUCUCCAAAUUGAACUCCCUCUUUAUGUACAAAACAGAAGCUGCAGCAACAAAAACCAAAAAGGGUCAGUCGGAGAAUGUAAUCAAAAUACAAUAACUUCCCAUGAAGUAAAUUCCAUUAGCAAACGAAAGAAAGCUGAAGAAAAGCACACUAAAAAAAAAGCUAAAAAGGCCAUCUUUGAUGGAUCUAAAGUUGGCUAUUGCUCUGAAUCUAAAGGAAUCAAACUUUCUGUAGUGAAAAAGACAGAUUCAAAGCUAGUACCUGCGAUUGUAGCGUUGUCCCAUCCUUGCAAUAGAUUCCCAACAGCAGCAGCAAUAGCAACAAGCACAGCUCCACUCAUUGUCAACUCAAAUGUUCAAAAUUCAAUUACUACCCUCUAAAUAAAUCCUUCACCGACAAUCCAAUCAAUCCAAGUUAGAAGAGCAAAACCCAGAUCACUGAUCCGUCAAUCUUGAUCACCCAAAUCAACAAAGUGAUCUAGCAUCAGUAUGAAGAACUCUAUCAGAGACUAGGAGGCAGAAGAGCAUAAGGAUUAUAUAGGCUAUUAGAGAAUAUCAGAUCAAGCACAUGAACACAAUUGAAUAAAACACAGCAGUAUACAACAAAUUAAGGUUGUUGGGUUUACCUGUAGCAAGAGUAGCUUGAUGGGUGAGUGAUGUGUCAGUCUGCAAAUGCAGACGCCGUAGAAAGUUCGAGUCUUUAGGGCUGAUGAAACCCAAAAGCAAAGCCAGUAAAAUAUCCCAAAAGGUGGCAACUGAUUAAAGGAGGAAGAGGCCAAAGAGCAAACAGGAGUUUAGCCUUUUGGAAACAGAGCGAGAGCGGUGGCUGAUGGACACCUGCUCUCGUCCUCCUCUCUUAGCCUUGCACGUCAGCUCCCUGUAUCAGAUCACUGUUAUCAGUUUCAUCAUCAAUCGCUAGCUGUGAUUUUGGGUUUUAAAAUCCAAGAGAUAAGGACACGAAUUCAGAUUUAUAUGCAAAUUGAACAACCCAAAUGAAGAGAGUUUUACAGAGUUGCUCUGUUUUACUCUGUUUUUAUGAGCAGUAAUGUAGAAACUAACCUGAGAUUUACUGGGUUUUGCUGAAACAGUCCAGAAAACCCAUGAUUAGGGAUGUUGGGUUUUCUGGGAAUCCUUGUUCUGAGAGAAUUAGGAUAUGCUAAAGCUAAACUAGGCCGUCUGAGGUCUUAAACAAAACCUAAGAGAAAAUAUUUAUGCCAAAAGUACAGAUUUGGUAUAAAACCCUAAACUAAGGGGAACUAAUCGGCUGCAUGCUACACCCAGCUCAGCCCUGAAUAUUCUUAUUCAAUUAAUGUUCAUCAUUACCAUAAGGACAAGAACCAGAAACAAAUCAAAGGAUGCAAAAGCAUCUUAUGAAAAAAAUAAAAAUAAAAAUAAAAAUCUAUACAAAAAUAAACAAACGAAUCGUAUAUAGUCUGGACUUAUAGGUGUCCCUGUUUAUAUGGGGCUAGUCAUGUGAGUUAAAUCAAUCUCUAUUACAAAAAAGAAGAAGCAAUAAUUUGAAAGAGGAACUGAAUCGAAUCGUGCUACCGGUUACCUUGUUGUAAUGGAACACAACCUACGGACGAGGAAUCGAGUUGAAGUAGUUCAGUUACUCCUGGUUGGCUAGUUUCCACUUCCAACAGGCAGGAAUAAGUUCCUGUUCGGUUUUUACUUCACGGUCAAAAUUGUUUCAAAGCACUAACAGGUACUUGCACAAACUAAAAUGAUCAGCUCGAUAACAUCGAAUGCAGGGUCAUUUGCACUGUUGAUGGGUAGACGAAUUUUCCAAAUUUGUUUAUCUUCGGUUUUGUUUGACUCAGAUUUAUUAGUAAAAGAUGCAUCAAAUUGAGGCGAGAUUAUUUUUAUUUUUAAUUAUUUGUACACAACCUCUAAUUAUUUUAUUUUGAAUUAAGUAUCGUUGGGUUUAUUAUCCGGCGGCAACAUAGUAAGAAAACUGCAUUAUUAGACAUUAGGAUGUGUAAUCGUGUUAUUACAUAAUUUACUGUUCUUUCCAUUAUGUUAAUGUUGUGACAAAGCAAAUAAAGUUGUCAUUAAAACAAUACUCUUUACUAGUGGGUGUUUGUUAGAAUUCAUGUACUAUGUACUUUGUAGAAAUUCUCGAUAUUAUUUCGGGACUUCUAGAUUAUUAUUGUAAUCAAAGGUUUAGAUUCCUCUUAUAUUUGACAGUUUCAUUAAAAAAAAGCUUAAUAACAGCCGCACCAGCCAUUUAUUCAAAAAAAAAAUGACGCUUUAGUUUUCUUGCAUUUCAAAUUUAGAUAGAAAAUGAAUCUCAACGGUCAAAUAAAAUACCUUAUAUUUCUGCUAUAAAUAUCUAAAAUACAGGAUUUUGGUCUAGAUUUAAGAAAAAAAUAGUUUGUUAUAUAUUUGGUCGAUCAAAUUCAUGUAAGUUUAAAGACUUGUUACAAUGCACCUAGCUAACAGGUUGCAAGUUCAAUGGUUAUCCCAAAAUUUGUCCGGAAAAAAAAAAGAAAAAAAAAAGGGUUAUCCCAAAAACAAACAAAAAAUAACUUCACUCUCAUAAUAUGUCCAAACAACAAAUAUUUUCACUUGCUCAUAAUGUCGAUCAAUUGACAAAAGAGUAUUAUGGAAUAUUCAAUUAUAUGUUCCCUAUCAUUGGCUAUUACGUACAAUACCUUCCUCUCUAACCCAGGUGAGGGACCUCCAAUGGAGCCAUGGCAGUGUGAUGUUGCCACCAACCGGUGUUCCAUCCUUCUCUUUUCUCUCUUAAUUUGAUUCUCUUUAAUUUCUCUAUCAUUCCAGACAAGCUGGCUUCAAAGGGCCGGGAGGUCAGUGGAAGAUGAGUUGAGAUUGGUUGGCUUUUAUUUUCAGUGCUACACAUGUAGAAAAUCUCAGCCAACGAAUAUAAAAGAAAAAGUCAUGCACCUAAUACCAUACAACAUUGUUCGUUUAUGAUCUGCGCGCACUCUCUUUAUUUUCUAGACUGUAACCCCAAAUUUCACAUUCUUUGUUAACUCUUUAUUCUUUACUAUAAUGAAUUUAUGCUUGUAUCACAAGAAAUGUAAAGAGAAUAACAACUACUGUGUACUGAGACAUGAAAAUCACGGAAGAGAAAUCGCGAAUUCGCGCGCUCUCAUGUCCAUAUGGUUCGAGGCGAGGACGCGCAUAUCCAUCUUGUUAGAACAACAACGACACUCUAAUUUCAGCAUGAACUUCCGGCCGCUGGAUUUUCCAGUAGUGGAAUAUACUGGCAUGCAUUGAAUUUCUUCUAAUUGAGCAAAUACCAUUUUCAUGCUGAGAACAACUUCCAGAAUCUUACAAAUUAAGCUAGUCCACUCCUAUGAACCACCUCUAUCGAUCCGGCGGAUGCUUUUUAUAAUGCUGAUAGUUCUGUUUGGAUAGGGAAACUAAAGCCUAGAGGAAAUUAAUAACAAUAAAUUGAUUGGGAUAUGUAGAUGACCAGACCUAGUACGUUUGAGUAGGAGUACGUAGUCAAUAUACUUCAAAUCAGCUCCAUUCUUCAGCUAGCUAGGGUUUCAUUUACAUGCUUUCUUUGUUGUCUUAUCUCCUUUAAUUGCAUGUCUAGGAGUUUGCCGUGUGUUUAAUUAUUUUAUUGUAUAAAUAUAUCUAGUAUCAGUACGUAGUAUGUAUUUAGCAGUAAGUUUUAGUUGGAAUCCAUGGGUUUCAGAAUGUAGCCGGAACUUUGCCGGAGGAUAUGGGACUUGAUCGAUGGAAGAGAUUCCGCAAAUUAAAACUAGGAGGUAAGUAAUUAAGUUUUGUGAAUUUGUCAUCGGUAUUAAGUAUUGCUUCUUCAGAUUUCAUAUUUAGCACGAAAAGCACAAGUAAUACUUUCAAAUGAUUCGUAUGUGCUGAAGUAUAAGUCCACCAUAACUAGAUGUGAUUCCAGUUUACAUAGACUGUAUAAGACAAUCCAGGAGAAGCUUUACAACCCUAAGUUCCUUCUUAUUCUUCUUUAUUCAAUUGACUGAACAUAUACGUCGUACAUGCCUUUCCAUAAACUUGAAGUGGUCUCUUUGUGACCCAAGCUUGAUUAAUACCGCUCCUGGAUUCUCUUCACUAUAUUUGAUACCUUCUUUCUGGAAAAAUUUGAUAACAGAUUGCUUCACAAUAGACUUCCCUGCACCAUGUCCGGUAACAACCCUGAGGAAUCGAAGCGAUUGCAUGUUGGUUCCAUACUGAAUGUGCAUCUUCAAAUGCUUCAUGGCUUCCUUGACAUGCUUCCCAUGUAAAUCGAUGGUCUCAUGGUCAUCACAUCUCUAUUUAUGCCCUUUGUCUUUGUUUUUAGCUUUAAAGAUCUCCUGGCUUGCCUUCAUUCUGACGACUUCUCUCUGGAGUUGGUAAACAAAGACUCCAUCACCAUAUGAGAAAGACUUGCACUGGUACUCCUAUGAGCUUGAGGAGGACCAGCAAGAGCCUCGGCUUAGUUCUUGCGGGUAUGUUCGGAAGACAGUCUCUUUAUUGAGGAAGAAGAUAAUUCGAGCAAGGCAUCUAAGGCCCUUUCAACCUCAUAUCCGCACUGACCAAGGACAUCUUUCACCACACCCGAGCUUAUCUCCGACUCAUCUCCAAACAUAGAAGAAACUUUCGGCAUCCUCUUUGCAUGUGUCUGGCCUAAACUUGUAGCCCGGAGUAGGAAGAUUAUCGUGAACUAUUGCCAAUGAAAAUUUUGCAAGCAAGCUAGGAUGGGAAGAAGCGAACGUGCUUUGGUUCUUGUCUUUCUUAAAAUAGUUUCUAAUUUCUGUUGCGCGUAGGGGAUGGUGAGAUGAUGGAAUGUCCACUUAACAAAGUACUGCCCUUUCCUAUUAUUAUGGGGAAUCUUAAGCUUCAAGAAAUUAACCUUGUCUAAAUAUGUUCAAGACACGUACGUAGCUAGUAAUCAAGUUAGUAAACCCUAACCCUAUUCCCUGUUGCAAAUCAUAUGCACGUACGAUCCAUUGUGGAGGUAGCUAGCUUAAUCAUGUGGAUAUGAUCGAUCUGUACGUUUGGUAUAUAUACAUAUAUAUAACUGAACGAGAUCAGCAAUUAGGUAGUUGGGGCUUCUCCAAGACUUGGGUUGCUAUGUUCAGUAGGAUGAAUGAAGGUGGAGUGGGGUCCACUACUCCAAUUCUUGUUUAGUUAUCGACCAGGUCUUGUUUACUUCUUUGAGGUCGUUUUACUCUUAUUAUUCUUCAGAGUUCUUUGGUCUUUGUUAGGGAUAAAGGCGCGUGAACAAAUUCGAUAUGCAAGUCUUUUUAUGUAUCUCUUGGAGUUUUUAUUCUCUUUAUAGAAUAUGAUAUUUGAGAGACUCUGUGGAGCGUUUCUUGUACUACUCGGUGAAGCGUUAUUGAAUUUAAUGACCUAUUUUAAUAUAUAAAAAAUAGGGAGAGAGAGAGAGAGACAGAAUAUGAAAGAAAAAAAACAUAAUAUGUCUUUUUAUCAGGAAUGUAGAAGUGUGUAUUUCUCAUUAGAUUGACUCUUUUAUAUAAGAGUAAAAUUUACUUUAUAAUGAUAUAACUAUGAUAAUUUACGUGGAUAACCACAUAUAUAUUUACAAAACAUCUCUAAUAAGAUGUUUAGCAACAUAAUAAUACUUUAUAUUCUAAUAAGGUCUUACUCCUGGAUAGUUGCCGAUAGGAUAAUAGUUACAAAUCACAAACACCCACCCAUUUUUACAAUGGGCCUUAGCACAACCAAGAUCAGUAGUUGUUUUCCAAACAAUCUGAGUAUAAUGCAGACACGAAUCCGUGUGGCAUGUAUUAGUUGCAUAGUCAUAGUCAGGCUUCUCAGUCAUCCAAAGCUUUGUAGCUUCCUCACCCGUCAUGUCAGGAAAAUUUUCAGCAAUGCACUCGCCAUAAGGUCCACCAGAAUGCACCAUUUCGCAGGUCUUAGAUUUCUUAUUAGCAUAGUCUUGUGCGUAGGCCGCUAAUGUUUCGUUCCAUUUGAGCGGAGCAACACCGACCUCGGCUCGAGCUUUGUUGUGUUCAUCAAGGAAGCCUUGGUUCAGUUGGUUGAGAGAAGUUGGUGCCUGUGGUUGAACAUUGUUUUGUGGUACCUCCGGUUCAACUUUGUUUUGUGGUACCUGUGGUUGAACUUUGAUUUGUGGUACCUCCGGUGGAACUUUGUUUUGUUGUAGCUGUGGUUGAACUUUGAUUUGUGGUACCUCCGGUGGAACUUUGUUUUGUUGUACUUGUGGUUGAACUUUAAUUUGUGGUACCUCCGGUUGAACUUUGUUUUGUGGUACCUCCAGAUCUCUGUUUUGUUCAUCACUGAGGUCUUGAUUAGCAUGGUCUUCUUGGGGUUGGCCAUGGUGGUUAUGGUGACCUUUUUUUCUAGCUUCAGAUACAUGAGAUCCAAAGAUUACUGCUAAGAUGCAUAAGCCCAGAAAAUGCUUGUUAAAUCCCAUUGUUUUCCUCUCUUCUUUUGUUCUUUUAGAAUGAAUAUUUUUCAUCUAUCUAGUGUGUAAUGGGGAACAAGAGAUUGAGCAAUUUAAUAGAGGGUUAUGACAGUUUUGUAGCUGAAAGUGGUUAAAAAAAAAAAAAAAAAACACUACUUUCAACCAUGAAAAAAAUUUUAAAAAUUUAAAAUGCGGCCAUCCUUAAAUCUUGUUAAAACAAAUGAAAUACAUCCCUUGAAUGGGAGAUAUUUUCCUUCCAAUUCGGGUCCAUUCUAUUUACCUCCAAUCCUCCGUAUACCUUUUUUUUCCUUUCUAAAAUUGGAUCCAAUACUUCUUAUAUUUAGAUAUAAUUUACAUUUAGAAUGUUGACCACUUGACUCUCCCUGUUUCACCAUCUCCUAUUGUUUUAUGUUAAAGUCUAAUAAAGUCAAGUAGUGAAAUUUUUAAGCAGGACUAAAUACUUGUGACACUAUGUACUUUACCCUUAAAAGCAGUUUUGUCUCUAGGUUUUCAAAUUUAAAUGGUAUAUCCCUAGACUUUCAUUUUUCGACCUUUUUGUCCACUCUGUCAAAUAUUUAUGUUAUCAUGAUGACAUGGCAUAUAUUGGACUUUAAAAUGACAAGAAUACCUUCGUUAAAAGUCACUUUUACUUUUUCUUUUUCUUUCUCUUUGUUUUUUUUCUUCUUUUUCUCUCUCGACUCAAGAAGAACGAAGAGAUAAAGAUUCUUUUAAAAAAAUAAUAAUAAAGGAAAGAGAAAAAACUUGGAUUUAGACUAGGGACAGUUUAGUCGUUUUGGUGACUUAAAGGCUUUUUUGACCGUUAACCGACGAAAUGGACAAAAAUUUCAAGAAAUAAGAGUUUAGGGAUAUACCGAUUAAAUUUGAAAAUCAAGGGACAAAUUGUGUUUAGAGGUAAAGUUAUAUGGGUGUCACAAGUAUAAAAUACUUUUAGGUAUAUGUCAUUUUUUUUUCAUCCAAUUAGUGUGUGUCUCUUUGAUAUCAGCACUGUAUCUCUCCCAUACAUUUCUCGAACUCUUCUUUUGACAAAUUCUAAGUUGAAAAUUGGUUGGAUGUAUAACAAUAAGAUUGAGCCUUGUGUAGACAAAUCUAUAACUCUAUAUUGGGGAGUAUUUGCCCUUUUCGAAUAUGCUGAGGCUAGACUCGAAUGAAUAAGCAAUUAUCAAUGCACAUUUCUAUAGGUCAAUAUAUAUAUAUACAGCAAGCUUCCUCUAAGGGAUCCCUUUUUUGGGGUUAUAUGAGGGAUUAAGGGAUUACACCAACUUUUCGAUCACCAUUUCCAAUCUUAACCGUUCAAUCUCUUCAUAUAUAUGAGUGGAUCAUUUCUGGAAAUUUUCAUCCCAAUUGGUGAUCAUUGAGGUGCUCAAAACUGCGAUUUGCAUGAACGGUUCAAAUCUGCCAGAUUUGAACCGUCUAUUGAUUUAAGUUAGUUCAAAGCCUUAACGAUCACCAAUUGGGAUGAAAAUUUCCAGAAAUGAUCCACUCAUAUAUAUGAAGAGAUUGAACGGUUAAGAUUGGAAAUGGUGAUCGAAAAGUUGGUGUAAUCCUUAAUCCCUCAUAUAACCCCAAAAAAGGGAUCCCUUAGAGGAAGCUUGCUGUAUAUAUAUAUCAGUUUCUAUCUAAAGCGGGACACAGCUUUGAAAUUAACGUGUGAGACUCCUUAUUUUGCUCACUUUUAGGUCACAUUUCCACAUAUACACCAUUCAAUAUCUACAACAUAGUGUGUAGAUCAUUCAUGCAAAGUUUCAUCAAAUUUGAAAAUCAUUUAGGUACCGAAUUAGAUUAAAUAAUAUAUAUAUAUAUAUAUAUAUAUAUACACACACACACAAUCUUUCUCAGUAAGGAUGUCCUAAUUUAUUCUUACGGUGCAGAUUUCCAUUUUAGACUCACUUUUUAAUCGAAUUUUCACAUCUCCACUAUCUAGUCUUUAGAUAUUAAUGUACGUAUAGAUCAUCUUUACAAAAUUUCAACCAAUUUGGUUAUCAUUAAGGCACUCAAAACUGCGUUUUUCUGUUAUAAACAUGAACGAUUCAAGUUCGACAGAAUUAUAUUCGUCAAAACAUUCGAAAAUUGUGUUUUAUCUUUAUAGUUGGUUCACAAUGACGUACACUUGCAUAUAACAUACUAAAUAAGUUAAUUAUGAAACUUCAGAUCAUGCAACUGGUUUAGUGGUGUGUUUCAUUUCCAGUCUAUUGCUAUGAAGUUUUAAAAUGUAGAGAAAAACCCUUUAAGAGUAUUUCACUUGUGUGAAACACUACAAUGGUACUCUUCUGAGCCAUCUCGUUGCUAUCAUUCGAUCAGGACCCAUUUUUAACCCAGAAGUUAUGAGAAAUGGGUUUCUCUAGGUCUCCUCCGCUAUUAAUGUUUUGUUGAAGUGGCAGAAGCCGAAAAAAAUAUGACUGGAAUUUUGGAUAAAAAAGUGAAGGUCCGAUUGGCAGAGUAUAGCGGGCCAGUACGGAUCAGGGUGGCACCGACCUGUUAUCCUUCCACUGCAAGGAGCGGGAAGUGAUCGCUGCUCUGUGAAACCAGCCUCACGCUGUGCCCUCCGCUUUAGGAACUGUGUAACCCAGGCCUUCGCCCAAACUACACAGCCCAACUCCUUGCUUGGAACGGGCAGGUCAGAAAUGAGACACAACUGACCCGACCCGCUAUGACUAAGCCAACGUUCCAACACCUUGGUGCCCCCACUCGGGUGAUAAGCUCGCGUUACCAAGCUCGGCAAUGUCAUAUGCUUGCAUUCAAUAUAUAAACGCUUCAAAUUUUAUAUUUUAUUCGAUGUGGGAAGACUUCCUCUGUAUGUCUCUUCUCUUAUGAGCUAGCUUAACAUGAAGGUCUAUUUGAAGCUCAAAUUUCGUCCAUGACAGAUUGAAUGAAUACUUAGUUUGAAGCGUUGCGUUGUUGAGUGUAAACAUACAACUCAAAACGAGAUAUAGUAUCCAAAUGAUUCAUUUGCUUCUCCUACUCAGAGCCUUGUUAUUUGUUAAUUUGUGACAUAACACUUCAUUUCUGGAACUUAAUGGACCUUCUUAUACUCUUAUCUCCCAACAAGAAGAGUUUUAUUUAUGAAACUUCAAUUCAGUGUGAUGCCAAUGAUCUGAAGCAUUACAGGUUCUUCUGUCUAUUUCCUUUAGGGAAGCAAUUAGUCUACCUCAAGGGAAGUAAGUAGA